rnacentral:lncRNA from 1 species
GAAAGGAACGUCACCGAUCCUAAUGUUCUCUUUCCUACCUUUGGCUUCACCCACCCUAAAAUCAAUAGCUUCGAUAUUCUUGUCCUCGGACUGAUCAAGUAAAACUUGAAUGUCCUCAUUAUUAGAGGAACCCAUGGUCUCAGCAAAUAAAAAGAAAAACAAGCACAGAAAAUAUAAAACUUACUUGAGCAAGGAAGACUAGAGAGAGAAAGUGCUUAGUGAGAGAUGCUUUGAUAUUCAAAAAUAUAGGGAUGAAGCAAAUGGAAGGCAACCGCUCGAUAUAUAGAAGAGCGAGAUUCUGAAGAGUCAUCCUCAUUUAAUGAGGUGACUCUUUUAAGUACUCCUCGGCAAACGAAUCAGCGCCUCAUUUCCUUCAAAAGGAGUUGUUUCUUGGUGACAUUAAGCAAAUAAAAGACAUCCUAUUGAAAAGACGCAAUAAAAAUAAUAAUAAUAAAAUAAAGUAAUUAAUAAUAAAUAAUAAAAACACUUAAUCACACUUUUGGACAUAAAUGACCAAAAACCAAGGGGUAUUACUGGUAGUACACAAUAAUAAGAUAUAUAAGAUAAUUUAUUAAUAAAUUAUACAAGAUAUUAAACUUCUAAACAAACUCUAAGUAGCAAGUCAUGUAAGAUUUCUACAAUCUUUAUCCUAAUAUAAUUAUCUUUUCUCCAAUAUAAAUAUCGCAAAUUUACUUCAAACGGGAGGCUAAUUCUGAAUUCUCCAAACCCUCAAUUUUUUAGAGUGUAAAAGAAAGUUUAAUAGUAAGUUUAAUUAAUUGGAUUAGACAUAUCUAAAAUAGAAGAAGGAAAAGAAAGUUUUCACAAUAAUGGAUGAAUUUAGAGUUUUUUUUUUUUAAGACAGCUCUGAAAAUUUAAUUUUCUUACUAAUAACAUACUAAUUUGAUUAUAAUAAUUAAUUUAGCUUAAAUUAAAUUUUUUUAUCUUUUUAUUAAAGUAAUUAUUUGAACGACUAACGAGAUAUAGGGCAUCUAAAAAAAAAUUGUCUAUUUCAUUUUAUUUUCAUAUUGUAUAAAAUUCGUUAUUAACUAGCACUUUUGUUUUUUGAAAACAUUAUUAACUGGCACUUUGGUAGACAUUAUAUCAUUUUGAGGGUCCAAAUUUUAGUUUUUAUAACCUAUUAUUAUACAUUUACCUAUUUAAUUCUAGAUAUAAUUAAGGCCUAAAACCUUUACCUUGAUCCCUAUUAAUUCAAGAUUAAAAUAAUAAAACUAUAUUAAAGGACAUUAACAACAAAUAUUGCUUGAUUUGAUGUAUGGAAUUUUAUAAUUGAAAACUGUUAAUAGUACUAUUACAACCACUGUAAAACUAUUAAGCUAGCUAAUAUAAUUGCUAACUAUUAUUUAAUUCCAACAUCAAAUAUCUAAUAAUAUUAUUAAAUCUAAUUAUGUAACAAAUGAAAGUACUUGAGUUCGAAUUUUCUAAACUGUAAAAAUUUUCAAAAAAUUGAUAAGUUAGCGGAAGGACUACCUCCAGUUAUGUAACCUAUAAUGUUAUUCUAACUUAUUAGGUUUCUCAUUGAAAAUAAAAUAAUAUGUUUUUUACCUCUCAUUGGGAAUAAAUAAAUUUCACAAAAUUUUACAAAACUCAUUUAUAAAUCUACAUGUUUGUGUUUGAUAUAAAAAAAAUAAAAAUUCAAUUUUACAAAUUUAAUCAUAUAGAUUUGAAUAUAAUUAAACCAACUUUUAUUAAAAAAUAUGAAAUUGACAAAUGAAUUCCAUAAACUUAAACGAUACAAAAUUUUAUUAUAAAACUUUUCGUGUUUCUGUCUUCUAAAAUUUAGCUAGGUCAAACACAUAAUUGAUAUCAUUAAAAUAAUAUAAUAAAAAGUAAAAAAAUAAAAAUAAAAAUAAAAAAGGAAUCAUGCAUACCAUCUUUCCCCAAUCGUCGCCUACUUCCCUCUUCAAUACUUCCAAUAAUGUGAAGAAACAUAGGAGCAGCUUGGAUGAGGGGUGACCAAAACAACGUGUUCGUGUUCUUUCUCCUUUUGCUUUUACAUAUUUUUAGCAACUUUUCUAUCAUUAUUUUAUUUUUACACUAUUCUCUACGGAUCAUAUAAACCCCAAAAAAUGCAAUUAGUGUUCAUAGCUCAUCAACCAGAUCUAUUUCACAUGAAAGGGAGAAAUUCCAAUUGCUAAUUAUAAUAUCAAUAAAGAGUUGCAUUAGUUGUUUACUUGUAAUUUUUAAAUUAAGAGUUUAAAACUUUGAAUCGAUUACUCUCAUCAGUGUAAGCGUGUAGAAAUACAACAUUAUGUAAAUAAAAAAAUAUAUAUUUAUAUCUCUUGUUAUAAUGCUUUUCUUCUUUUCUGAUUAUUCAUUGGAGUCAAAUGAAUCAAAAUAUUAUUUUGAUUUUUCAGUUAUAUAAUUGAGAGUAGAUUUUCAUUUUAAUAAUUUUUACUGUAAUACACCAUAGUACUGCUGCUUUCUGUUCUCUAUUUUUAAUUUUAAUGUUGUUGCAACUCUAUGGGUUUUUUGUUCCCAAAUGAGGCUUUGGGUGUUUUUGGAUGAGUCUAUUCGGCUCAGGUACAGUUAUCUUGGGCUCAAGUUGUUUUCCUCUUCACCAAGUUCUUGGCUUAUCAAAAAAAAUUUUUUUUGCUGAAAUAGCUCAAGUACUAAAGUCCGCUCUGAUAGUCCUUAUAAGGUUAUUAAUUCGAUUUAUAAAAAAACAGCUACAGAGAAAUGCAGUUACGAACUCUGAAAAGAAAUAUUCUCGUACUUGUAGAGUAUAAAAUACUUUGGUAAUAAAAAAAAAGGAAUUAGUGAAAACUCUUCUCUUAAUGAAAAUUGAACUUAAAAGAGUACGAGACUAUACCAUAAGUGAAGUCUGUCUGGACUGUUAUUCUAAUUUUUGAUCUUAACCAAAUGCUGAACUCACAGCCCAUUUAAUGUGAUAAAAAAGAAAUAUUAAAAUGAAAUUGUUUCGUUAACCAAUAUUUUAAUGGGCAAUUUCUAUAUUCCCUGAAAAAAAAAAAGGCAUUUUGUACAUCAGUGGCACUGGUGAGAUAUAGAGUUGACCACUAAGGAAGAGGACAGGGAGGGCAAGUCAACUGUCUCCAUUGAAGUUUUCCUCAAUUCGUCAGAUAACUCUCACCAUUGAAGUUUUUCUAGUUUUAUUUGGUUUUCAUGAAACCUGAAAAAAGGCUCAAAUGUUGGAAAAGAGCUGCAAACCAAUAAAAUCGAAUCAAUUCGAUUUGAUUCCAAUUUUAUACGCUAAUUGAUUUCAUUCAAUUUUUAUUUCAAAAAAUUUCGGUUUGGUUAUGACAAAUGCUCAUCCUUAUAUAUAAAGUGAGAAUAAUUAUAUUAUUAAUAUCUAAAUGUUACCAAUUUUCUAUUUUAGUGCCUAAGAUUUAUUUUUUAGUAAUUAACACUAUGUUUGGAAAAGAAAGAAAAAAAAAAUAAUGAAGGGAGAAAGUAUUAAGGGAAAUAAUAAAGUAUUUAUUGACACGACCAAAAAACUAUGCCCACGUAAGAGGCCCGAAAUGGCAUAAUGAAUAAAACUUAUCAUGAUCAAGAAUGUGCCAAGAGAGCUACUUGGACCCAAAACCCACUUGUAAAUAUUAUGCAAAUCUGAGGUAUUGUAGGUUUUUAUAUAAUCUAACAUAAUAUUUUAAAUAUCUUAGAACACUUUUUACUUUUCAUGGAGUCGCAUCGUUAGAAUUCCUACAAAUAAGAGGUGAUAUUCUUGUAAUAUUUUUUUUUUUUCCAAACCUAUGAAUUUCUUUAAUUUCUCUUUCGUUCUGCUUGUCUAGUUUUUUUUUUUUUCAUCCUAAAUUAUUCUUAUUCUUCUCUCCUUCAUUUUCGAACUAAUGCGAUCCAUUAGUCCAUCCUAUCCCAAGGUACUCCUAUGAUCCAUCCUAUCCCAAGGUACUCCUAUUAGACGUAGGACUGAUGAAUCCUCUUCGCUUUUAGAUUAUCCCCAGGCACUCCUAGUAGACGUAGAAUUGACGAACCCAUUACACUUUUAGAUCGAACGAACCCAUUUCACUUUUAGAUCGAAUAACUUUUCUAGCACGCUCAUUAUUAAGAUGUCAUGAUUCUGAUGAAAUCGAUUGACAAUGUAGUAUAUAUAAGUUCAAAUAGUUUUAUACGUCCGAUCAAAGGCCUAUAAUUCGGCCUUACGGGUGAUUCAUACUAGAUAUUUGAGAAUGUCUUUAGGUCGGAAAUCGAAGAAACACGGGUGGUCCGAGUGGACAUACAAACUGCCAUUAUGAUUUGCAUAAUAGCAUCGGCCAUUUAGGGACUGUCGUGGCAGAAUGGACAGGCGACCAUGACUUGGUCAAAAUUCACUUACAAAUAACUGGCCCAAUUUGUCCAACGGGCGAUCGAUCCAACUACUUUUGGGGAGAAUGUCUUAUCUCAGGAUCAAAAAGACGAAUGCCCGAGUUAAACCAAGUAGCGAGUACAUGGUAGAACAACGAUCGGAACCUCAAACUCACGAAGGGACCUAGAAAAACACCAUUACUCUUAAAUAUUCGACUUUGUUAACUCUCACUUAACAAAUGAUAAAUAUCCUUAUAAACCGACCAAGACUAAAAUAGACAUACGUGAAUUAUUGAGACAAUAUCUUUCUGAAUCCUACAAUCUGGCCUAAUGAAAAUCUUAAAAGUUCACUUAGAAAUUGACUUUGUUAUUUCCUUAAAUGAAAACAGUCGAGAGCGCCAAGUAUUAACAAAAAUAAUUUGGUAUGAUCAACGAUUAAUCCCAAUUCACAUUUAGGCGCAAUAUCAUGGAAGAGAUCCGGAUUAAAAUAUCUCAAUCUUGGUCGAUUCACGCAAAAAGGAAAAAACUUCUAAUCAACCAAAAAUUGCAGCGACCGACUCAAACAAUGAUAAACCGAAAGGAAUUCGGUUUUGAUGAUUACAAGUAAAUUACUUAUGCAAUAUUAUUUCAAAAGAGGCAAGGAAUAUUCUACGAAAUAAUAUUGUUCAUUAAAGCAUAAUUACAAAAGAAGAGAAGCCCAACGUACAACUAAGAAAUACUGGAAGAAAGUAAAUUCUGCAAAGUUAUAUUGGCUCGUUUCUGUUUGGCCAACUCCUUGUCCUUGGUUGUCUCCGUACAUAGUCAACCUAGGUUUUCUUCGCCUUAUUUGCAAUGCUCCCUUAAGCGGCUAUCUUACCCUCGAUGCCAUAUGUUUGUGUUUGCAAGGCUAAAAGUUCAGCCUCAAAGUUAGAGAUCCUUGCUCGGAGGGCUUUGCAUUCGAUUACUUUAACCACUCCUUGAGAGGACCAUUGUUAAAGGGAAGCUCGCAGGCUGGCAACCUCCCCGUCAUUUACCAAUCUGGAGAGUUAAACCGAUGGCCUCUUGUAAAUCAGCCCUCAGAUUGGUAAUUUGAGAGGCCGGAGUCUGUAGCUUCUAAAGGUGCUCCUCCUAUAACUGGCCAAGAAUGCGAACUAUGAAAAAUUUCAAGUUCAUAUCAAACUUUAUACAAAGGACGGUAUCUAGUAUUGCCUCAUCUCGCAAUUGAGAGUACUUUUGCACUCGAGAAAGGGUUUGUUAGAGGUCAAAAGCAUAGAUUAUUUUCCCACAAAAAAGAUGCCUGUUAACAGGAAGAAGCCAAAGAGUGGAGGAACUCUCCGGGAAGUAAAAAGAGAAUCAGGUGAGAGGUUUGGCCACAUUCCUCAUGAGAAUCGGACCAAGAAUUUGAGAACAGGUCUCGAAAUUGAUAUGAAGAAGCUCUUCGAACUGCCACAAGGAAUAGUCAUCUAUUAGAUUAAUCAAGAAAUUUCAACUAGCCAAAUAUUCAAACUCAGAUCCAGAAGAACAGAUAGCCAUUACGUCAAGAUCGGUUAACAAGUAGAUAGGACCAAGGAUAAUUAGAAAGAUUAGUAGUGAUCGACUUUGGAGGACAAAGGCAAAAGAAAGGAGUAAGAAAUAUAGGUGAAUUUAGCCGUCAUUGUGACGGUGUCCUAAAAGGCGAAGACUUUCAAGAGAAGCGUGAUUCUUCAAGUGAUCGACUAUAUCACUUAACAGUUUGAGGUUGGCUCAUAAUGCACAUAGGACUUCGAGCCACAAAGUUCAUGUGCAGAAGCAUUGUUGACACUAAUCCAAAAAUUAAACCUAGAUCAGAGGCUUGAAAGGGCAUAAUGAAUCUAAAAUUUAUCAUGAUCAGGAAUGUGCCAAGAGAGCUAGUUGAGCUUAAAACCUACUUGUAAAUAUUGUGCAUAUCUUAGGUAUUAUAGGCUUUUGUAUAAUUUGACAUACAUAGUAAAUAUCUGAGAAUGACUUUUACUUUUCUUGGAAGGCACUCUUAGUAUUUCUAUAAUAGGAGGUGACACUCUUGUAAAUGACACGAGAAUCGAUAUAAACAAGUGAAUUGUUUUACGCAUUCAAGUCAUCUUUAACCCAUUUUCUUUUCCCAACCUAUGAAUUUCUUUAAUUUCUCUUAUGUUUCUCUCACCUAGUUCUUUUUCUCCUCCUAAACUCUUCUUAGUCUUAUCAUUUUCGAACUAACAGAACAGUGUUCUACUAUUUUUCUUUUUGUUUUUUUUUUUUUUAAAAGACUAUUCUACUAGUUUUCUUCCUUGGUUAUUUUUCAUUUUUGUGUUUGGAUGAAAGGAGUAUAAAAGCAAAAUGAUUUAGAUGAUACAAACCCAACUAUACAGGGAUUUCAAAUCAAAAUGGACUGGCAUGUUUCGUUCAUCACGAAUUCACCUAAAUUUGAUACAAAUAUGAAUAAAGUCUCUUCAAGCUAAUAUUGCUUCUUCAAGCUAUGGUCGUCACCAAAAUCCCCUGUUGCUAAAAUCCUACCAAAAUUCUUGUUUUAUGGUUUCCUAAUGCGAUUUAUGUUUCUUCUGAUAUACAAUAAGGAUGUGAAUGCAAAUGGGUUGUGAUUUGGAAGAGAGAGGCUUGAGUGUGGAAAUGAAAUGAAAGGUUAAAAACUGACAGGAAAAGAAAUGGAAGGAGAUUGCCGCCACUCUUCUUGCUUUGAGUUUCUCCAAUUUAUUCCUUUUCUUUUUCUAGAUUUUAAGGUUUUAUUUUUGAUUUAGGUUUUACCAUAGUGAUGAAUCUUUCAAGCUUAUACACUUGGUAUGAACCCAUGUGCAACAUUUCUUUUAUAAUCUUACUUAUUGAAGUAUUGAUUCGCAUUUCGAGCAAAGACCUCGAAAAUCUCAAAAAUAACUUGAUCACCCCUCAGUAUUCUCAAGAUUGAAUCUUCUCGCAAGCUUAACCUGGCAGUAAGUGCAUAAACUUAAGCAAAAGACAUUUUAUUCCUCAAAGAUUAACCUUUCAAGAAGAUUGCCACAUUAUUAGCAAAUCUCUGUGGACUGAGUUACUAAUUUUGAAGUAUAGUGACCACAGCAAAUAGUGGACAAAGACCUCAUUAGGCUAUGUUUACUAAGCUGUGGUGAAAUAUACUAUAAUAUAAGCAACUGCAUUUCUAGUAUAAUUUAGCCUAGCAAAAAUUUAUCAUCAUCAACGCACUGAACUUGCUGCUAGAAUGCAAAAAUAAGUUAAAAUCCACUAAUAUGCAAAACCAAACAAAGAUUGUCGUAAACUACACGCUAUAGAAAUAAUCAGUAACUAUAUGUUUGCCAAGGAUCAAUUAUAAAAGAAUGUAACUGAUAUAGACAUCUUCAUAAAUCUUUUUGAAUUUAAGUUUACAACCCAUUUUAAGAUUGUCAUUGUCGUUUAAGAAAGUAUGACUAACAAAAUUAUAAAAAGAUCUACAAAGGAAGAAGCAACCAAUUCUGAACGAGAAGUCAUGAGUACCUGAUCCAUCACUUUCGUGGGAACAAACCAAACAUGUCGAUUAUCACCAUCAUCAACAACCAGAUGACAAACUGACUUUAUAUCAAUCAAACGCAUUUCUGAACUUGUACACCGGUGCAAGUAAUCACAACAUAUCUUUAAUGAAGUCAAGGUUCAAAGUGUCACGAACAAUAAGGAACAAGCCAAGUAGUAAAACAAGCAUGAUCCCUGAAGACAUAAUCCGCUGCUCAAUUUCUAAAGGAAGCUUUCUUCCACCCCUAGCUGCCUCAAUAAGAAUCAAGGCUAAGGAACCUCCAUCUAAUGCAGGCAAAGGCAAAAGGUUUAUCACAGCAAGGUUAAUAUUAAGAACAGCUGCAAACUGGAAAAGUCCAUCAAUAUUUGACCUUGCAACUUCUGCUCCAACAGCAAUAAUAGCAACUGGACCUGAAACCUUACUAGCUGAUUCUGAAAAGUUAAGAAAAGUUUGUUUCAAGCUAUCCAAAACAUUUGAUGACAAACCUAGAAAUUCUUUUCCAGUAAAAUUAAUUGCUUCGAUUACAUUUUUCGCCAUAAUCUUAGUAACCUUCAUAUUUGGUGAUAAUUGAACUCCAAUUUUACCAGUUCCAUCAAAAUUCUCAUCAGGGGUUACACCAAUGUCAAAAUCCUGCUGUCCUCUCCCUACCUUAAGCAACACAUUUCUUUUUGGAUUUCUCUUAAUAACAUCAACAACCUCAGUUACAGCAUUUGGGCCAGUUUUCGGCAAUUCAAUACCAUUGAUAGCAAGAAUUACAUCACCAGGAAGCAACCCAUCUCUAGAAGCAGCAGAAAAGGCUCUAACUUCAGGCACAAGAACCCCAGGAAAGGCUUCUUGAACAGGCAAACCAACUGAUAAUACUUGAACAAAGAUUAUAACGUAUGCAAAUAUAAUGUUGGCAAUAACACCAGCUGAUAUUACUAAAAACCUAUCAAAUAUUGGCCUAUUCUUUAACAAAUUCGCAUCAUCUGCUGGAAUAUCACUCUCUGGAUCAUUAUCAGGAAAGCCCACAAAUCCACCUAAAGGAAAAGCUCUAACAGAGUAUUCUACAUUAUUGGCAUUAAAUUUAGCUAAAAUUGGACCAAACCCAAUAGCAAAUUUACUUACAUGAAUACCUUGAAGAUAAGCAGCAAGAAAGUGACCGCUUUCAUGAACAAUAAUUAUAGCUGUUAAAACACCAGCUGCUUCUAGGACAGAUUCAAAACUGCCCACAUCAAAUCCAGAGACAGCCGAAGCCCUGAAAUCAAGCUUUUUACCAAGUGAAUGUCUAUUGAAAAAUCGGUUUUUGAAGUUAAGACUGAAUUGUGAACAGGAGACAGAGGCGGAGAAAUGGAUUUUGGGUUUCAAAGAAGAAGUUGUGCAAGGUUCAAGAAUGGGUGAUUUAGAGUUGGUGAAUCUAAGAAAAGAAGAAGAAGAAGAAGAAGAGAAGUUUAAUAGCAUGGUUUCGCGGUGUAUAAAGAAGGGAGUAAUUGGCGUAAGGAAAGGAGUUGCGAUACGGAAAUGGGGUUAAUGGUUUUGUUGCUUUUGGAUAAUUUUUCAUCACUUGGAGCUGUGUGUGGAGCGGAAGUGAGCGAAAUGUCCCCUUCUUUGUCUUCCACACAACAUGUAAGUUUCAGCUUCUUUAAUCCUUGAAACUCAUAAAUUUGAAGUCCAAACUCUUGAUGGGUUAUUUUACCAUUUAAAGCCUAUAUGGAAACUGGGCUUAGACUAUUGGAUAGAUUGUUUAUAAGGUCUGGUCUGCACAACAAAUACUUCUGUAUAAGCUGACAGAAGAGGACAAUCAUGAGACCACAGCUCUAAUGAAUCAAAAUACCUCAAAUUUUAUAAAGUUUUGCAAUUUCAUUUUAUUUUAAUUUCGACUUUUUUAUCAAUAGCACCCUUAAAUGCAAUUAAGAAUGAAAUUAAAUAAAAAAUAUUACAUAAUUUUUUAAACCAUUAUGUGACUCUAUAGAAAUUUGAAAAAUGAAAAUUUUAAAAAUUUUAUUAGUCUUAACAUAUAAUUUCUCACAUAUUAAAUUUUAUUUUUUUAAAAUAAAUGUGCUAUUUAAUAAUUUAAUAACAUAAUUUCAAAAAAAUAAUUUAAUAACAAAUUUUUGUUAAUUAUCAAAAAAAUAUCAAGCAUGUGAAUUAAUAAAAUAUAAUUUUUAAUUAGUUAUUUUAUUUUAUAUCAUCUAUAUUUUAAGAAUGAAAAAAUCCUAAUUGCAAUAAUUCUUUGAAUUGGUAACAUAGAAUAAAAAAUAAAUAAAUAACUUUUCCAAGUAUUUUUAUUGCAUAAAGUUUCAAAUAUCAUAUUUCUAAAUUUAUAAAUGUAUCACCCAUUAUAUAUGAAUAUAAUUUGAUAUUGAAAGGAUAUUUAAAAUUAUAUUAUUUAUUAUUAUUAUUGAAAAAAAUAAAAAUAUUUUUUAUUUAUAUUUAUAUUUAUAUUUAUAUUCUUAAUUGCAAUUGAGGGUGCUAUUGCUACAAAAGUUUAAAAUUAUGGUAAAAUUACAAAAAAAAUUAAAAUAAAAUGAAAUUGUAGAGAUCUAUAAAGUUUAGAGAUAUAUAAUACUAAUAUAAUGUGAAAUUAAUAAUUUUUGGAUUUAUCAUUUUUGUAUCUAUCAGAUAAUAAUUCGAAAAUAAGGAUAUUGCAGCGAGGGUUGAUUAUAUGCACGAUACUACCCUCAGUGAGAUCUCAAUUGCUUAAAAGCAAAAAGGAGUAUUAUUUCCCUUUAUUUAACAGAAAAAAAAAAUAUUUCCCUAAAUUAUAGUGAAAUUACCAUACGCCUCCUUUAUGUUUCAAAAGUAAUAUGUCUUCCUAAAUAUACAUUCUGUGAGGUGCCUAUCUCAUUCCGUUCAAAAACUCUCUAAUUUUCUGUUAGUCUAUCUAAUAAAUUAAGGUCAAAAACAAAGAAGAUGAGGGACAAGAGAGCUGGCUGUCCACCUGGACCCUUUCGAUUGGCUGAUGCAAAUGUUUUAGUGGUUGUCCCAUGCCAUCCGAAAUCUGUGAAGUCGAUGACCAUCCAUGACUUCGAUUUGCAUGUGUCUCGUUCAAGUUGUCAAUACGUAUGAGAGAUUUGAUCCUUUCGGCUCUAGUUCUUUCUGAAAUCAAGCAAACUUUGUCGAAAGAAGAGACUUAAGCAAGGAAAGAAAUCAUAAUUGUGAAAGAAAAAUUUUGUCAAUUAUCAAGAUGUUCAUUUCAUUUACCAUUUGGCAAAAGCAAGUCGAAACGAGAUGAUUGUAUGACGAAAUAAAAAUUUAGAGAGGUAUGUAUUAAUUUUAAAAUAUAAAGAAGGUAUAAAUAAAUGUAAUUUGAACGAACGGAGAUGAUUGUAUUCGUUGAUUUUUACACUUUAUAAAUAAAUGUAAUUUAAUUUAUAUACAUAAUUUUUUAUUAUAUGAAAUAAUUAAUUUUUUUUUGGUUUAAAUCAAGAGUAUAUGAAUUUUCUUAUCAGGGACCAUUUAAUCCGGCUCAAAGUUUAGUCACAAUUAAGACUCAUUUGCCCCUCCUUGCAAGUGCGUUUAAUGGCGAUCAAAUUCAAUAACUCUUCCUACAUGUUCGGUUUGCAUUGUCAAUUGAGUCACAAUCCAUAAGUAAUAAAAUAAAUAAUUAAAUAACUUGUUAAGAAAAUAAUAUAUUUAUAAUGAUAAGACACUGUUAUAAUUUGACAAUCAAAUUUUCAUAAAAAUAAAAUUAAUUAUCAACCAAUUUAAAUUUUUUUUACAACAAUUUAAAUUUAAUUAACUUAAUUUUUCAUAUAUAAUAUAAUAUUAUAAACGAUCUAUAUUAUUAAAAUAUGAGUUACCGGUAUUAGGUCUUAUAAUAAGAAAAAAUAACCGAUAUAACUAACUCGUCCUCGUAUUUUAGUAAUAUUAAUUAAUAGUUCUCAAAGUUUACUUCCGUUAAACAUUUCAUUCCUUUCAUCAAUUUUUUUUAAAUGUGUGAAAAGUCAAAAAUAACCCCACAAUUAAACAAGAAAAGACAAGAAUAGCCUCUAAAAUGCUUAUUUUUGUUACGAAUAAAAUGAUGAAUUAAACAAGAAAAGACAACAACAGAAACUUUUAACAGCAGCUUUUAUAGUCAAUCAACUCAUAUAUAUUGGCUACUCUAAUUUAUGUUUCUGAAUUAUUGCCUAGUUCCUACGCUGGUAAGUGAAACAAAAGCUAAAUCCAUAACACAGAACAAACGCAAGAAUAAAUUUAAAUGUAACAAAUCAUUAAAUGCAUAUAAACGAAAAAAAAAAAAAAAAGAAUUCUGAACAAAGAACAAAGGGACUCCUGAAAUCGGUAUCGGGCACAAAAAAUUUUCCAUGAUUCCAGAAUCUGUUUACGUGUAUGUUAGCACAGUCUGUGUCAUGAUGACAAAUGGGUUGACUCUUCUCUUGUUAUAAGCCGUAUGGAAAACUAUACUAGAAAGAAGUCCAAGACCAAGAGAAAAAGAUGGACAAAAUGUCAAUCAACAAAAUACCUCUUUACAGAAGAUCACAAGGCCCCGAAUGAGAGGAACCAACUCUCCACCUGCUAUCCAUCAAUCUUCCAAUUGUGUUCAUAAACCAAUCCUCCCACAAGCCACCAAAGAAUUUGAACAAAAAACUUAUUUCAAACCAAGAAUCCUCCAAAGCUGCCUUCUUUUGAAAACCAAGAAUCCAACAACUCCAAUCUGCAAAAUUGCAGCAAUACCCACAAACAACAAUACUAUCUUCUUCCCUGUGUUCAUUUUGAUCUUUUUGCGUUGGAGAUGGCGGUGCUUGAUCCCUCUUUGAGGCGCUGGUACGCAAGGCAUGCCUUGGUGCGGCGGAGGACUGCUUAUUGGAGGUGAUGAUGGAGGUGGAGGUGAAGGUAGAGACCGAGACCAAGACUGAGACUGAGACCUAGGUGUUGGUGGAGGUGGAGAGUGUCCGUUGCUAGCUUGCGUGGAGGCAGGAUGAUCGGACCAGAUCUAGCAUGCAUUGUGGUGGUUUGCCGCUGUUCGCAGAGGCAGAGUAGGGAGUUAAGGAGAUGAUAGUAGUCUAGGUUAGUUACGUCUUUUCCUGUUUAAGUGUGGGACUAUUUUUAACUUUUGACAAAAUCAGAACAAAAUGGACGGAAGAAAUGAAAGGUCUAACUCCAGCUAAAUCUCAGUAAUUAUUAAUUAAUAUUAACAAAAUAGGAUGGUAAAUUAGUUAGUUUAGUUAAAUUUUAAGGAUGAAUUAAUUAUUUUUCUUAUAAUAAUUAAAUGUAUUAAUCAUUAUUUUAGAGCAUCAUUUAUAAUUUUAGUAUUUUUUUUUUACUUUUUCCUAAAAUCUGUGACUAUCUAAUUAAAUUUUUACAUUUAUUUUUUUAACAAGAAAAUUCUUUCAAACGUAUGAUAUGAUUUUCUACAGUUACUUUUUUAAAAAGAAAAUUCUUUCAAACGUAUGAUAUGAUUUUCUAAUAUACGUGCUAUAUCAUAAUUUUAUAUUUUAUAUAUUUUUAAUGAAUUUUAUUUUCUAUUUUAUAUCAAAUAAUAAAAAUUACAAUAUAUGCCCUAAUAAAAAUAUUAAUUAAUUUUAUUUUUUAAAAUAAGUUAGUCAUAAGAAAUAAUUAUAAAUAAUCAAAUUAAAGAUUUAUUAAAAACAAUAAUUAAACAUAUAUUAUAUUUUUAUAAUAUACCAAUUAAAAUUAAAUUACCUUUAUAAUUUAUUUUUUCAACCAAUAAAAUUAAAAUCUUUAAAAAUAUUACAUUCUUACCUCACACACACACAUAUAUGUAUAUUAUUUAGUACAUAAUAUAAUUUCUUAGUUUAAUCAAUAGAAUUUAUACUUAAAUAGAAAAUUAAUAUGACCAAUUAAAAUUAGAUUACCUUUAUUUUUUCAAUCAAUAAAAUUAAAAUUAUUAAAAAUAUUAUAUUCUUACCAUAUUUAAUAUAUACCUUAUAUAAUAUAUCAUAUAAUUUUUUAUUAUAUCUAAUAAAAUUUAAAUUUAAAUAAAAAAUUAAUAUGAUCAAUCAAAAUUAAAUUACCUUUAUUUUUUCAAUCUAUCAAAUUUAAAAUCGUUAAUGGUAUUUUUGCCGAUCUAUAAACUUAGUAGGGUGCAUUUUUGGCGGUCUCAAUAUUAUAUAUAUAAAAUAAUACUAUAAAUUAUCUAUAUUACUAAAAUAUAAAAAAUCAAUAUUGGUUUCCAUAUUUUGUCAAUUGAAAUAAAAAAAAUUUAUUAUUGCAUUAGUUUAAAAAAAACUAAAAAAAUAAGCAAUUAUAUAUCAAUUGAAAUUUCCAUUUAUAAAAGCAUGAAAAAUAGGCUUGUUACAAUGUACAACAUUUAUAUUAAUAAAUUUAUAUUCUUAUCAUUGUUCCACUAAGUUUCAGACAAAUUAAGAAAGUAACAGCACAAAUCAACCACAAGAGAAUUAAUUUCUAAAAUAAUAUUAGUUAAAAAUCUAAUUCAAUAAAGUAAUUAAUUUAUUUAUUUAUAUUAAAUAUAUUAUAUAUUAUAGAUAAUAGACAUUAUAAUGAUUAAUAUAUUAAUUAUUGUUUUAAAGCAUUGUUUAUAAUUUUAAUAUAUUCUUGCAAUAUUUAACAUACACAUUAUGUAGUAUAUAUUACAAAUUUUUAAUUUAUCCAAUUCAAUUUAAAUAAAAAAUUAACAACUAAAAAAUUUUUAAUGUAUAUUUAACAUAUACAUUUUGUAGUGUAUAUUUAACAAAUAUAUACCUCAGUUAUAUCCACAUUCUCUUGCCUUGACACCAUUAUUAGUAACUUAUCAAAAUAAAAUUUUUGCAAACUUUUGAACAUACUAUGAAAAAAAAAAAAAAAGAAAAGAAAAGGGAGGAGAUUAACAAACCUCCAUUUUAAUUGUAUAGCAUAGAGCAAAAUUUCAUUGCAAAUCCGAACCCUGCAUAACGAAACAAAAAUAAUAAUAAAUACAAAUAACUUUAACUAAAAUAAUAAUAGAAUCGAAGAAGAAGCACUUGUGAAUCCCACUUCAAAAUAAUGGUUAAAGAAAGAUAAAAAUGAAGAAUUUAAACGCUUUCGGAUAUAAAGAUAUAUAAAAAAAUAUUAUUAAAUUUGUUCAAUUCAAUUGUCAAAUAAAGUUACAUUAUCAAUGCAACUUUUUAAAUAUAAAUAUGAUUAAAUUAAAAAAUAUAUUUUAAUGGCCAAUUAAAUCAGAAAAACAAAAGAAAAAAUGAUAGUAAAAAAAAGAAAGAAAACAAAGCUCCAAAAUUUGUAAAAAAAGAAAAAUAUAAUAUUUAAGGAAUAUAUAUAUAUAUAUUUAUUUAUCUAUACUAUAUGUAAAAAUGAAAAUGAGAGAGAAUAAUAGGAUUACCUGUAAUAAUUUUAGUAAAAAUUUAAAAUUAGAUAAUUGAUUAAUAAUAGUUUGAAUUUAUUAAAUAACUUGAGUUUUCAAUAAUUGAUAAAUUAUAAUUUUUUUUAUUAUUUUUUAUUAAUUGAUUGAAAACGUAUAUUAUUAUAUUAUUUUAAUAUUAUUAUAUUUUUUGAAAGAUAAAUUUUUAUUUUAAUAUAUUAUUCUAAUUGAACUUUCUUUUUGAAUGUAUGGAUCAAUGAUUAUUUACAAUAUUAGUUGUUUCAAAAAACAGAUUAUUAUUUUAAUUUUAAAAUAAACUUCGAAAUGUAAAAAAAAAAAAAUCUAUAAAAAAUACUAUUGCACAUGUUUUAUAUAUAUAUCAUUUUUAAAAUUUUGAAUUUUUUUUAUUUAUAUCUAUUUAUGUAUAUUUAAGUUUUUCACGAACUCAAAUCACACUCAAUAAAAUUAUAUUAUUUAAUUUUUUUUAAAAAAAAUUGAUGCUAAUUAAAGUUUAACUUUAUUAUCUUCAAAAAAAAAAAAUUGAAAUCUAAUCUUAUAAUUAAUAAUAAUUUUUUCAUUUUGUCGUCUAUAAUUAUUUUAUUAAAUAUACUUGACUUUUAAUGUUGUCCUAUCAUAUUAAAAUUAGUUUAAAAAAAUAUUAUUGCUUAUAAUAUAAAUAUUAUUAAUCAUGUCUUAACAUUAUAUAAAUAUAUAGAAAAUAUAAAAGAAAAAUUAUAAUCAUACUUAAUAUUGUAUAAGAAUAAAUUAAUUGAUGUAAACAAUGAGUAAUAUCGAAUACUAACAACAUGCAACACACAUAAAAAAACACUAAUUACUUUAAAAAUAUAAAUUAUAAAUAUUAUAUAUAAAUAAUUAAAUUAAAUUUUAGUUUUGUAGCAAAACUUUAAUUAUCUUUUAAUAACUUUAAAAAUUUAAAUAAAACUUUCAUGCCCUUUCAAAAAAAAAAAAAAAAGAAAGGACUUUCAUGCCACAAUAACUUGCUGUUCGUUCUGCUGCUUGUUUUUAAUAUUAAAUGAUUUAACAUUACCACAACACGAAAUCAUCCGUUUCCAUUUCACACGUAAAUAGUUUCCACUCAACAAUAACAACUAAUCAAUUCCACUACCAACCAUAAACGCUCUUCCACCUGCUUAUCUGCCAACUCCCAUGAUUUUGUAUGUAGUAUAAAUGUUCGUCAAAAGUCCUCAAUAAGAAGAACAUUUCCAUAAGAACCUUUUUUAAUGAUUGGUGUUUUUCCACAGCCAUAGCACAGGAUUUUUAUGGCUUUGAAGUCUGUUUCUGUUUCCGGAUUUGAUGUUUCUCGGUUAAGCUGGAGAAGAGGCUGCUUAUCUAAACCGUCGAAUCGGCUCAGGUCUUUUAGCACAUCGCAGAGCUUUGUAUGGCUUGGCACGAUAAGGUCUGAAUUGGGCCAAAUUAUUGAUCAAACAGCGGCUAAUGUUUCGGGAAAUUUGCAGAAGGAUUUCAGUUCCUUUCCAAGUUAGUUUUCUAUAUUUGAAAUUUGCUUUAAUUCAUUGAAUCUUCUGUAAGUUAGUUUUUUUUUUCCCUUUGAAAAAUUCAUUGAAAUAAUUGAGUCUGAAUGAGGGAGAAUAUUAAAUUUGAAAGGGAAUUUAUUUGUAGUAAUCAGGUCAAAAACCUGAGGUAGGAUUAUUCUAGGUGGAAUUUGCUGAUUGCAAGACUUAGCCAGUUCUUCAAACUAAAGUCAGCAACUGUUGUACAGGGAAUAAAGUAGCAAAGUUUGUUUUUUAAAAAAAUAAUAAUAAUAAUUUAAUAUACAAAGCAGUUUUAGAAAUUUUGCUUGGAUAUUAACUAGAUGUGCUUGAAACUUACGAAGUUGAGCAAGCCUAUGAGAUGCUCAAAAAACCAUGUUCAGUAGAUUUUUUAUAAUCACUGAAUUCGAUUGUCUGAGGUUUCUGUUUGUGAGCGGCUAUAGAACCCAGCCAACUGUUGGAAGCUCAACUAACUUGAUCACUGUAAUUUUUUUAUGUAAACUGAUUACACUUGCUAAAUAUCUGCGGACUAUUAUUAUAGAAAAGAAAACUUGUCACCAUUGGCUUUUCCACAAACAGACGUGAGGCAACUGAAGUAUAAAACCAGGAAAAGUGGAGAUAUGCUUAUAGCUGAAAGAUAAUGGAUAAUAUCUAAGUAAUGUAUGAUUUAUGUUUAUCUUUCACUUAGGUAAGUCUUGGAUUCAGCUUUGUGCUGGUUAAUGCUUUGCAACUUCAUUUUCUUUAGGUUUCCAACAAUUGCAGGACCAUUAUCAGUAGCCGAUUUUUCUGCUAAUCCAGAUGAUCGUAUGAAGGUGCGGAUAUCAUUUAAGGUAUGAAUUUUAUCUAAGCAUUGCUAGCUUCUGUUAGCCAAGCAGAUAGAAAUCAAAUCAAGUUACUCAUAGCUAUCCCUUAUGUUUUUGGUUGGCUUAAUGCUUCAGGGGCUACCAGGUUCAUACAGUGAGGAUGCUGCACUUAAGGCCUACCCUAAAUGUGAAACUGUGCCCUGUGACGAAUUCGAGGACGCAUUUAAGGUUGACAUGAUAUUAUCUUCACAUUGAUAUUGUCUUUCUCACAAGGAAGUUUAUAAUAGCAAUUAUGUAACAAUCUGCAGGCAGAAGUUAAGACCCUGUACAGUAGUGCAGUCACGUUAAAUUGCUUCUGUUAACAAUUCCAUAUUCUUUAUAUUACUCAUGGUAAAUCAGAAUUAUUUUAGAUUCCAAUUUUCUGAAGACAACUAUAUGUUCAACCAGCAUAUAUACGGCAAAUAUUAGGAAAGCAGAAUGCUUUUGACCUCCUUUUCAUUCUUGUAGUGCUUUUUCACUACUUUUGGCAGGCUGUUGAAUUGUGGAUAGCAGAUAAAGCAGUUCUUCCAAUUGAAUGUUCUGCAGCUGGAAGCAUUCACCGGAACUAUGAUUUACUCCUUCGACAUAGGCUUCACAUUGUGGGUGAGGUAAAAUUGGCUGUUAACCUCUGUCUUUUGGCUAUACCAGGUGUCAGAACAGAGCAGUUGAGACGUGUUCUUAGCCAUCCACAGGUUAAGUUUCAAUUUCCAUGUUAUUUAUUUUUUUUAUAGUUUUAGCGUGUCUCUUGCCUCAAAAAGAAGGCAUGCAUAUGGAGUUUCACUAGCAUCCUCUAGACCUAUUCUACUAAGCAUUGACAUAAACAGUUUUUAGACUUGGGAAAUUAUACGAAAUUUCUUGCCACAUCUACUCUUAUUAAACAAGUAAAAGAUACCGGAACUAGAGUUGCUGUUAGUAGAUAAUAAGAUUAAUAACUAUGCAACAAUAACUUUGACCUAAUUUAAUUAGGAAUCAGGAUAUGUUGGAUGUAUUAUCAUAUUAGAGAACUAGCAGUUUGAGUUUGAAAUGGAAAUUUUUCUCAAUACACCGGAACUAAUUCAAGUUGAAGUUCUUAACAAUGUUUGGAGAUUGGAGAAAAAGAAGUAGAAUGAUUGUCUGUAUAAUCAUUUGGAUGAUGACUAUCUCGUUAGAGUUGUGACCCAUCCACUUGCUAGUUCAGAUUUCCUGACAAUGAUAGAGUAGCAUGUGUUAUUAACUUUUGGAAUCUAUUUUUUCAAUAUUAAAGUUUAAAGAAUUAAAUUUGCAGGUACUUGAUUUGAGUGACAAUUUCUUGAACAAGUUAAGUGUUGCGAGAGAAAAUGUUGAUGAUGCUGCUGGUGCUGCUCAGGUUAUCUAUCAAUAUUACAUUUAGGAUCUUAUUUUAGUUUCUACAUAUCAUGCCACCAAAUUUUAUCAUAAUUACUUAAUUUUGGUUUUAGUAUGUAGCCAUUAAUGAGCUGAGGGAUGCUGGUGCUGUAGCAAGUGCUCGAGCUUCAGAAAUAUAUGGGCUUAACAUACUAGCGGAAAAAAUCCAGGUUACAUUUUUAUGAUAUGUUUAAGUCUAUGUUUAGGUCUUGAUAUUUCGUGUCCUCAUUGCGAUUCCUUUUCCACUGACAAUUGAAUAAGCCGGAGUCAUCUUGUUCAAUCUACUUCCUUAACACGAGGAAGUAAAAUGAUGGUUGUGAUAAAAAUAACAAGAGAUAGUACAGUUUGUUCUUAAGAGAAAUCUGUAUGACUCUACUUCUGAUUACAUUUUGUUGAAAUGUAGUUGAGAUGUUCUCUACCAUGUACACAUACAACAUCUAAGCCUUAAUCCCAAAUUAGUUGGGGCCAGCUAUAUAAUUGUUUAUUUCCAUAUCCACUCUAUUCAAUUAAGCAAUUAAAGCAAAGUAUAAAAUUGGAAAACUUGAAAUACUUUUUGUGAAAAAAUUUUGGAAAAGAAAAUUUUCUAAAUUAUUUGCUAUUAGUAAAUUAAAUAAAGGGAAAAGUAUUAUAUAGCCCCUGAGGUUUGAACUAAUUUACUACCUCAUCUCUCUAUUUUGAUAAACCCUAUAAGUAGGCCUUGUGAUUUAGUUCUGUUGGACAAAUUGGUCCUUCCGUUAAAUAAAAGGGCUUUUCACUGUUAGUCAGAUCCAUAAAACAUAUUCAAAGAUGAGAGAAUAAAAUUGAAUUACAAAAAUACCCUUAAUGGCCACUGCCACUUUCAAUCCAUCCCUCUUACCACCACUCCAUCAUCUGCCGCCAACCACCACCAUGAAAUCAAAAACAACCACAAAUAAAAAGAAAAUUGAUUCUUCAAAUCAAAACCCAAAAACAAAAGUUAUUCAAUAUCUAAGAAUAAAACAGAGCUAAAGUUGAAUUGGAAAACCAAAUUUGCUAUGGCAGUAGCUUACAAGAGAAAAUUUUUAAAAAGAUUACCAUAGUACUGAGUUCAUUUUUUGUCAUCGUUGUUUUGCAAAAAGAUAAAUAAAUAAAUAAAAAUAAAAAACUAACUUAAAGAAAAAAUGAAAAACCCAAAUACCAUAAAAACUGGAGCUUUGUUAAUAUAUUACCUAGAGCCACACCUAAGAGCUAAAGAUACUAAAUAUAGAGUGCUAGAAACAUGAAUUCAAGGCACGGAUCAAACACCACAGUAUUUCAGUUGUUUCAAAAUAUAUAUAUAUAUAUAUAUAUAUAUAUAUAUAACCAAUUAAAAUUAAACUACCUUUAUUUUUCUUAAUAGAAUUUAGAUUUAUAUAGAAAAUUAACAUAACCAAUCAAAAUUGAACUUUUUUUAUUUUUCAACCAAUAAAAUUAAUACUUCAAUGAUAUUUUUAUCAGUUCAUAAACUUAACAGAGACGUUUUAGUAAAUCUCAUUAUUCCCUCUAUUUCUCGGUCUCAAAUUGUAAAAUUAACGUCCAUGGUUCUUGCACUCAUUAAAGCUUACAACUUGCAGUAAAAGUAGCUACCUGUUACUUCUUCUUUUUGGACUCCAUCUAUCAAAUUUUAAAAACAAAGACAAGAAUGAGAAAAGGGCCUCUUUUUUCAAGAACUAAAUUUGAGAGGAAGGUUAGAUGGCUAGGAUUUAGGACUUCUCUUAACUUUGUAGGGAAUUUAGACUUUUUAUAUUCUCUUAAUGGUAAAAAUCACUCAAAAUGGCCGGAAGGACCAAUUUGUCCAGUGGAGCGAAACCACAGGGACUAAAUAAUGCUUUUCCAUUAAGCAAAACAUAAGAAAGAACAACAACAACUGAGCCUUAAACUAGUUACAGUCAGCUGUGUGAAUUUUUUAUCAUUCUACUAUCUUCACAGCUAAACCCUGACUAAUAUCCAAAUAUUGUAAAUCUCUGUAACAACUUCCCUCCACUUGGUUCUAGGUUUACCUCUUUCCCAUUUAGCAACCCGUACUAUCUAAAUAUUACACUUACAAACUGUGGUAUACAGAGGUCCACGUAACACAUACAUACCAUUUCAGACGUCAUUUUCUCAUUUUAUCUCCAAUUUUUGCUCCUUGUACCUUUAUCUAAAAUAAUAAUUCCUAAUCUUGUCUAAUCUUGUGUGACCACUAAAGACAUACAUCUCAACAUCUGCAUCUCCACAACGUUCAACUUAUGAACAUGUUGGGUAUUUAGUGCCCAACAUUCAAUCCCAUAUAACGUUGCCAGUCUCACCAUCGUCCUAUAGAACUUAUCUUUCACCUUGUUAGAUAUCUUCAUAUCACAUAACACACACUUGUAUCACUCCUCCAUUUCAUUCAUUUUUCUUGAAUUCUAUGAAUAACAUCCUCAUCUAUCAAACUUCUCUUCGGUAACAUUGUACCUAGAUAUCUAAAUUGACUGCAUUUGGGCACCAUCGUAACGUCUAAUCUAACUUCACCUCCCUACUUCUUACUUAAGCCAAACACGCAAUUGAUAUAUUGUCUUCUUCUUAACCUGAAAUCCUUACUCUCGAGAGUGCGCCCCUAUAAUUUCAGCUUUAAAUUGAGUUCCUCUCUAGUUUCAUCAAUUAGAACAAAAUCAUCUGCGAAUAACAUGCACUAAUGAACAUCCUCUUUUAUAUUAUUGAUUGGCUCAUCCAUUACUAGGGUAAAUAAGUAUGAGCUCAAAGUAGAUCCUUGGUGUAGCACAACAGUUGUGAGGAACUCCUGUUUAUCUCAUUCAACUAUUUUUACACUUGUGGCUGCAUUUUCAUGCAUGUUAUCCUUAAUGACGUUUAAAUACUUCCUAACUAUAUUUUCUUUUCCAGACGAUAAAGCUUUUUAGUUUGUUGAUUUCCUUGAUUGCACAGGGUGACUCUGAUAAUGUAACUCGUUAUCUGGUUCUUGCAAGGGAUCCAAUAAUUCCAAGAACUGAUAAGGCACAUAAGGUAAAUCAUCAUUUAGCCACAUCACAUGUUACUUUGUCUGCUUAGUGUUCUUAGAAUUUCAAUGUGAGUGUCUUUUUUGCAGACAAGCAUUGUAUUCACUUUGGAAGAAGGCCCAGGGGUAUUGUUUAAGGCCUUGGCAGUGUUUGCAUUAAGGGACAUAAAUUUGACAAAGGUAUCUUUAACUAAUAUCAUUUCUAAUUCUUAUCUAUGUAAAAAGAUUAGACAAUAAAUAUUUCACUUCUCUGUUCAAUCCCAGAUAGAAAGCCGGCCACAGAGAAAGAAGCCAUUAAGAGUUGUUGAUGAUUCAAAUACUGGAAGUGCUAAGUAAGUAUAUUCCCAUUGUUUUAUAGAUUGGUUAGCAACCAAUCGGGUACUCUUAUCAAGUGCUCUUUCAUUCAAUAUGUAUCAUUGGAUAGUUAGAAUCAAUUCAACUUUAUAACUUCUGGGUUUUCCAAUAUAUUUUUAAAACUUUACAAUGCCUGAUAUUCUGCUUAUCUUGAAUUUACUAGCUAAUCCCUUUGCCUGCAGUAAGAGAACUAACAGGGGUACAUUGGAUAGUUAGAAUCAAAUCAACUUUAUAACUUCUGGGUUUUACUCCAAUAUAUUUCUAGAGCUUAGCAGAAGCUGCUGAAUGUAUAUUCUGCAUAUAACAUCGUGUUCUAUUGGCGAUGCUUUGCCUUAUCCUUUCAUCACCUGAUGAAAGUUUCAAAUUUAUCCCUUUAUUGAUACAUGGCUCAUCUCCAAAAUUUUCCUUUCCUGAUGACACUGUUUUUGAUCUGUUGCCUGCAAUCCAGUGCCUGAUAUUCUUCUUAUCUUGAAUUUAUUAAUUAGCUAAUUCCUUUUCUACAGUAAUAGUUGAUUUGUCCUUUGUUGUUUGAAUGCUGAUGCACGUUGCAGGUAUUUUGACUACCUUUUCUAUAUUGAUUUUGAGGCUUCUAUGGCAGAAUCACGUGCGCAAAAUGCGUUGGGGCAUCUGCAGGUUGGAACAUAAUUAUUUUUUACCACAUCAAAUUAUUAGUAGAGCAGAAAUUUUUACAUAACAUUGCAUCAAUUUGCCUAUAACCAUUUCGCUAAAUUUAGGGUAGGUUUUUGUAUUUUUAUUAUAGCUUUCUAGUAUGAAAUUGUAAUUCCUCAGGGUUGGGAAGCCCAAACAAGUCCAAUUGUUUUCUUUUUUACCUUCCAAAUCAUAGACACUGAAGAUCAAAAAUCAAAGGAUUGUUCUAUCGACAUUCUUAUCAGAUAAAAUGUGAUAUCCAUUAUUUGUUUUGUGAAAUAAAAUCAACUUGGCGACGCUGACAAUUUACACAUCACUCCAAGUCUCCAAUUGUCUUCAAGGUUUUUACAGAGCUGGGAUAUUAUUUUGCAGGAGUUUGCAACAUUUCUUCGGGUGCUUGGUUGCUAUCCCACAGAUACAACAGCUUUGUAGCUCUCUCUUCACUAAUCACUAUACCAUAUCUAAAUAUUCAUGUCAGCAUUGGAAGAGAGAGUCAAAGCCUUUUAUAUCAAAGGUAAGCAAAAACUGUUUGAUUUUUUAUGGUGUCAGUUGUUGAUGUUCCUAUUAUAAUUAUUUGUAACUGGGCCAUUUGAAUUCUACUGAGAUAGGAACAAUAACAAGAUCAAUUGUUUUUGUGCCAAAAAACAAAAGGUAUUGUUUGUAAUGAAACCUAUAAAAUUCUGUAAGUUUUGGUUUGAUACAACUUAACUAACGAUAGAAUUUGAUUCAGUUAUAUUCAUGUAGAAAAAAUAUCACACAUUGAACAAUUAUGCAAGUGUUACAUAUUAGCUUGUGAUAAGAUAUUGUCAGCUUGAGAAGUUUCCAUAGAUCACGCUUAGGAGGGCCUCUUGCUAAUCCGAGGUGCACUGCGACACUUUUAUUUCCCCCAAUUUGUUGCAUAAAAUAAAGCUAGGCUAAAAUGCAGAUAAACUUGCCUUGACCGGGCCCAAGAUUCUAUCCAUGAACAAAAAAAACAUAAAAAUAAAAAUUUUUAUUAAAAUAAUGAUAUUUUUUACCAUACACUGGAAAAAAAAAGAAUAAAAUAAAAAUAAUUAGAAGAUUUUUUUUAUUAGUUAGGUCUAAACGUGUAAAUGUGCGGAGUUCAGCUUGAACCUGCCAAACUUGAAAAUCAAUGAGCGUAAAAAUUUUAGGCUCGAACUCAACUUGAAGUUUGAAUUCAACUCAAAAAAUUUUAAACUCAAGCUCGAAAGUUGAGUAAUUAACUUAAAACACUAUUAUAAUAUAUAUAUUAUAAUAUCUAUAUGUAUAUAUAAAUUUGAUAAGACUUGACAAGCUUUUGACAAGCCUCGUUUGCUAAAUGAGCUCAAACAGUUUGCGAGCCAACUCGAGUCAUUUACACUCUUAAUUUGGUCUAUAUGCAGGGCUAUAAGUCUAAUUUAGACAAAUAUUUUCCGCUAAAACAAGGCUAUCAACUUACUUAUAUGUUUGUUUUAUAAAAUGUAAUAUAAUCAAAUUAAAUUUUAUUAUGUCUAAAUGAAGUUAUUAUUUAUUAAAAUUGAUAAUUAAAUUCAAAUUAUUACCAAAUAAAAAAUUAAUUGAUAAAAAAUAUGAAUUACUUUUUUAAAGACAAUGUUAAUGGUCACUUUUAUAUACCAUAUUAAAUUCAUCUUACUAAUUCAAUAAAAAUAAAAACAAAAAAGAUGCCAUAAGUUCAUAAUUCAUUAAUAAACACUUCUACACAGCAAAAUUAAAGUACAGAAAUAACACGAUGACAUGUCUCACUUCACUCACCUCAUCUAUAUCUAAUUUAUCCAUAAUGUUGAAACAUGAUUUUUUCAUUAUUAUUUUCUUUUUUUAAUGUCAAAUAGCAAUAGUAAGAGAUUGAUAGACUUGACAGUGGGGUCACUUUCACAGCCAACUAUCUAUUAUCACACACAAAUGAAGUUUGAAAGGGGAACUCUUCUCUGUCACCACAUAUAUGCUAAGAGAAGUGGACUCUCCUAUAUGGAUUACAUUGCCAUAUCCCAUAUAUUACAGCUCUGUUCCUCUAGUCCUCUUGACUCCUACUCCCUUAUAAGUGGAAAUAGCAUUCCCUCUUCUUUAGGGAAUAUUUAAUGGUCUUGCAGAUACAUGGUUUAUCAGAAUGAGGAUUUGCCGGCACCAUUAUGCUAGUUUUCCACUUCACAAUGCUGCCUAUUUCACUGCACAAAAUCAAAUAAUUGAAGCUUUUGUUUAGGAGCUAUUUAUUUCAGCUUAACCUUCAACCUAUUUAUUCAGCUCUGACAAUAAAUUUGUUUGUCUAAACUGACCAAUAAGUUGUUUAUCUGAUUUAAUUAUCUAAAUGAAAAUUAAAAUAACAUUAUAUAUUAUUUCUUUUAGUAAUAAGCCGAUGAUAUUAUUUCUUAAUUAUUCAAUUCAAUAAAAUAGUAGAUUCAGCAUUCAGCAUUCAAAAUUCAGUGCAAACAAACGAUCGUCAAGUGUCUCUUUAACAUUUCUAUUUGAGAUGAUGAUGUUAAAAAAAAAAAAGAACUAUUUGAUUGGUUCAUAGUUAUAAUUGAAUUCCCAAAAAUUCAAUUUCAAUCUCGAUGUCAAAUAAGUUCUUGUUUUAAAAGUUCUUUUGAGUGGCUAACUGUGACAGAUCUGUUGUUAAUUGCACAGCCUUACCCUAAAAUAUAGCUGAUGAUAUGAUUUGCGCCAAUUAGGUAGCCUCCCAUCUACUGAAGAAAUACAUUAAAUAUUCAAUAGAAAAGUUAAUUAAAUUCUACCAAGUGAUGCAAGGAGACACAAUUACUUUAAUUAGAUAUGUGAUACCACCUAAUUCAUAAUUAAAAAAGAUUAAGGCUCCAAUAAUUUCUUUUCUUUGUUUUUUAAUAAUCAAAAAUCCCAAACUUAAUCUUAACCUAAUAACACUUAUUAACUGGUUGCUGACAACAACCCAACUUUCCAUUUUCUGGAUUCAUAUACACCUACCCAUCUCUAUAUUUAGAAAAUGUUAAAUUUAUAGUAUUUGAAAAAUAAUCUGAAAUUAUAUGCAAAGGGCUUAGUCCUCAUCAACCAAGAUUGAUCAAAAGAACAUAUCAAAUUCAACAAAAUCUUUAUCCCACAAUCUUGGACCCACAUUCCAAAAUGAAUACUCACUUUCAAGAAAAAGAAGAAAAAAAGCUUAAUUAAGAAAAAUGGACCAAAAAGGUACCUGAAAGGAAGGGCAAUGUAAUCAUUUCCAAAAUUUUGAAGGGCAGUACUAUCGAUAAUUGAUAGAGAAUAAGCUUUGUCAAGCUCCAUUAUUGCCCACAUUAGGUUAUCCUCUGUCAUAUUUUCCCUGCAAGGUAUUACAACAAUUUUCACUCAUAACCCAAUUGAUUAUCAGAAUUGAUUCUUCUUUUCUUUUUCUUGGUUUUUCAGAACAUCAGGAUAGUACUGCAUUAUGAUAAGAUAAUUAUCGGAUUACUAAUGCAAUUUCAAAUCAAUUUAAAUAUAAAGAAAAAGUUAGAGAUAGAUAUAUCUAAUAAUUCUUGAAAAACCUAUCUUGAUAACUAAAAGAAAAGGAAAGGAAAAAGAAAAAAGACCCAAGAAAUUAUUUAAGAACUGAGAAGAAGCAGAUGCGAAUAUUAUAUAUGUCGAAUACUGCAUAUUAAAAAGAUAAAUUAGUUGAGAAAAAUAAGGAGAAUAUAUUACCUGUAAUAUCACUGUAAGUAGGUGAACUGUGAAGCAACAAGAGAGAGUGAGGACAGAGCCAUGAUCAGAGAAUUCUCAUCUUUCUUUGCUUUUGUAGUGUAUCAGGUGAUGAAGAAGACAGCGGAAAAAGGAUAUGAGGUUCAUUGAACCUGGCCACUCCAUGCUGGUCCGUAGGAUUGCUUUUAGCACUAAAAUGAAAUAAUGUACGUAUAUAUUCGAUUGUUGAGAAUAAUGUACGCAUAAUUGCAUUAGUGUUGCUAAUGCCGAUGCUAAAGCUAAAAAGUGCACGUGAUGAUGGAUAUAUUUAUAUAUUUAUUUCACUAAGGUUUUUAUUUGUUUUUGUAAAUAAUUUUAUUUUAAAGGAAAAUAUUUUUUACAUUUUAAAUUAUUUGAGAUGUUCAAAAAAAUAAAUCAAUGAAAAAUAUUUUUUUGGUCAAAGAAAAAUUAAAUUAUUUUUUAAGGAAAAUUUCUCAUUUUCAAGAGAAUAAAACAUUUUAUUUUAUAAAAUUUCAAUUAUUAUUAAUAUUUUUCAUGGUUUUAUGAUAUAAAAAAUUAUGACUUUUAACUAAUUUUCAAUAUUACAACCAAACAACGGAAAAUAAGUCAUUUGCAAAAUAUUUUUCAACGAAAAUGUUUUUCAUAAAAAUAUUUUUAGCAAAUUAUUUUCCUGUAAGUUAUUUUACGGAAACAAACAGAGGUUAAAUAUUAAUAUUUUUUUUUGAAAGGAAUAAAUAUUAGUAAUUAUUAUUAUCAAAUAAGUAUAACUGUAUAUAGGGGUGAAGCCAUAACCUAAGAUGAAAUAAUCUUUUUAAAAGAAAGAGCAAAAACUUCUUUGCUCCCUUGAUAAAUUCUACGAAAAUAAUUAAAUAUAUUAAAUUAAUGAAUUAUAUUAAAUUUUCAAAGAUUAAAAUUAUCAAAAAUAAAUAAAUUAAAAAAAUAUACAAUAAAAAUUGAAAAUUGAAAAUCUUGCAAAGAGCAACAAACGUUUUCUAAUCAGAAGCGUACAAUAACACAUUUCUAGGGACGGAUUAACUUUUUAAAAAUUUUCAGUAUAUAUUAUCCAUCGUUUAUCUAUACAAGAAAAAAAAAAAACUCAUUUGAAUUAACAAAUAGGAAACUUUUCCCGUUUUGCUCUGUCGGAGUGUCGGUGUGAGUCAGCAGUUUUUGACUAAUGGAAAGGAAAAAGACAAAACAAGACAGGGGAGCUUAUCAUAAUUAUAUGUAUAUUUUAUAAUUGUAAAUUAUUUUCUAAAAUUAUUAGAAAAUUAAAAAAAUAUAGCUACAUUUAAUAGUCUCUUAAUUCACAAUUAAGGAGUUUUUUCUUAUUUACAAAUUUCUCGAUUGCAUAAAACAUUGAUUUAAUAUGUUACAUAAAAAGUUCGUUUGGAAAGUAAAUAUUUUCGAUUGGUGCCUAUAAAAAAAAAAAAAAGAAAAAGGGAAUUGAUAUUGGAGUUGUCUUAAAAUAAAAGAAUUUAAGAAUUCACUUAUGUUCCAUUAAAAAAUUAUAAUAUAAGGUGAAUGUCAUUGUUUUGGUUAAUGUACAGCAGAAUUUUCAAAGGAGCAUAUAAUUUUUGGGUUUUUUAGACCCAUAAUAAAUGAUUUCCAACUGAAACUCUCAUAGAGUUUAUUAUAAUUUAAGAGCAAUUCGUAUAAAAUAUCUCAACUUUGCCCAUUGUAUUAAUUGCAUCUCAUUUUUACUUUAACACCUGGAAUGCUCCAAUUUUUAAAAUUAUUAAAUAAUUCGAAACGAACUGUACCGUAGAUGAAUCGGAAUCAAAACGGAACUGUCGAUUCAAAAUUUUAAACCAGAAUCGGCGGUUCAAAGGCCGAUUAAAGUUUAUGUGAAUGUUAAAAUCUGAAUCUAAACCGGCAGUUUCAGUCCGAUUCGAAUCGAAAAUUUUCAAUUUUUAUUUUCAAAUAAUAAUUACUUAGCCUAUUUUAUACAUCUCUAAAAGUCUCAAUAAUAUUUUACUACAUGAUAUACUUUAACUUAAGAUUUUUUUUGAAAAAAAUACACUUUACUUUAAAAGUUAAAAAUCUAAAAAGUAAAAUGGUAAAAAAAAAAAAAGAAAUAUUUAGUCUAAAUUUAUAUUGUUUUUACCUUUUUUUUUAGCCUUUUAAAUUGUUUACUAAGUUUAAAAUUACAUUCUUUUGAAGCAUUUUUCAAAAUUUUCUUAUAAUUUAUUUAAUUAAUAACAUUUAAACAAAAUAAAGUGAUAACUUAUUUUAUUAUUUUGUAAAAUUAAUUAAUUUUAUUCUUAUAUGAGUAAAGCAUUCUAAAAUUUAUUUAAAAUAAAAUUUACCAAUAUUUUUUAAAUUCAUAUUAAUAUUUUCAAAAGAAAAAUAUAAUGUUUAAACCGAUUUUUUUAAUAUAUAUAUCGCCGAAAAUCGUGAUCGGAACUGAUAUAAAAAAACAUAUAUAAUUCCAUCGUACAAAUGUAAGCAUUAGUUCAAUAAAAUUUUUCUUCUGAAAAAAAAAAUCAAUAAAAUUUUUAAUAACAAACUAAUAUGAAAUAUAAAUUAUAUGGUAUAAAUGAAACUAACAUUUGAAUUUUAAAAAUAGUCAAUAAAUUUAAAUUUGAAUCUCAAAAAUAGUCAAUAAAUUUAAAUUUGAAUCUCCUCGUAGCAACGCCUAACGUACAAUAAAAAAAUAUAAAAACAAAAAUAAUAUAACAAAAAUAGUUAAAUUUCAAUCCUUUAAAAAUUAUAAAAAAAUAAAAACCCACCAAAUCUUUUUUUUUUUUUGAAACUCUCCCAUCAAAACUAGUGAAAUUAAUAUAGAUUAAAUGAUUAACCACCUCCAAAACAAAAAUCAGCCAACCUCUAUUCCUCAUACUUUCAAUUCAUUUUCAUCCACUCUUAAACAUCUAUCUAUUGGACAAAAUUAAAAGAAUAAAACUACAUAAUGAAAUAUAACAUAUACACAAGUGCAAUUGAGCAAAUUGUAACAUUACUAGUCAAAUUAUUAUUUUCAGCAUUGUCCUCAAAAAAAAUUAUUUUCAGCAUUAAUAAUUAAUUAAUUAUAUUAGGGCUUCACUUUCAUGCUUGCUUAGGCUUAGGGUUAAUAGUAGGAUUAAACAAGAAACGAAAAACCCAAGCAGCCGAAGUAGCUCCAAUUAAAGGGCAAAUCCAAUAAACAUAGAACAAAUCCCAACUAUUAUGCCAAUUAUUUGCAUAAGCCCAUCCAUAUGCAUUUGCAGGAUUCAUACAAGGCCCAGUAUACUUACCGCCGAUCACCACCAAUCCAGCCGUCGCCGCCUUCACCAACCAAAUCUUCACCCACAAAUUCUUUGGUCCUCUGACCAUAACCAAAAGCAAAGAAAAACAAAGCCCAAAACUCAAAAUCCCUUCUGCUAAUCCUCCUGUAUGUAAAUCCACUUUCAAAGAAGGACCUUUUAGCAAAUUCCUAUACGUUCUUGGCAUCGCCUGUAAUAUUGCUUUGACGCCGACAACUCCGCCGGCUGCCUGAGCUGGAAAUCGGACUGCCAUGGUUUUUAGAGAGAGGGAUCCACUUGGUUUAAGUCCGGCGGCGUAUAAGGAGACAGUCGUGGUGGGAUUGUAACUAGCACCGCCUAAUGCAGCGCCUACUAGAAUAAAUAUUAGCAUAAAAGAAGUGGAUAGGUUUAUUGAUAUGAAAAGACCUGAUAAUGAUUUUGGUUCAACGCCUACAGUUGAUGCUAUAAUGGUGGUUAAAACGCGCAGUAUUGGCACGCUAAAUACCCAUAGAGAUGUUAAAAUUGCAUCUGCCAUGGCUACUCUGAUCAAACCCAUCUCCGUUUCUUCUCUUCAGAGGAAAACAGAAAUGCUUGUCCAGGGCAGUACAGAGCAAUCAGAGAAAGAAGAAAAGAAGGCAGCGAAUAAGAGAUUAGUGAUAUAAACAAACAAAAAAUACAGUUUUCUUUUAAGAAUUUUUGUUUCUUUUUAUUUGUUGUUUAGGCUUUUUGGAGUUCUCUAUUCCGAUGCUUUAUCAGAAGUACUGGCCCUGGUUGUAUUUUUUUAGCAUUACUUGCUCUUUCCACAAACCUUUAAAAAACGAGAGAGACGUGGAGGAAUUUAGAAGCGAUUCUAAGUGGAUAUUUAGAACGAUUAAUUAUAAAUUUGAUGUCAAUUUUUUAUUUUUUUUUAAUUUUAACGUGCGAAAGAAAAAUUUUAUUAAUUGAGGGCUGUCCACGUGGACAUGGUGAUCACAUUACACAAAAUAAAUAAUCCAAUGUGGCUUUGUUAAUGAAAUUCCCUAAUUGGUUUUCACCUCUCAAAGCUCUGUUUUGGCCUGUUGAAGAAAAGUGUAAGGAGAUAGGUUGCUUUUUUUGGCCUUGGGGUUAUCAAACGUCUGUUGCUCUAUGUAUAUCGAGUGUUUGAUAAAACGUGUGAAAGAGUUUAUUUCUCUAAUACACGUUACACUACGUAAUUUAGCUUAAAUGAAUUCAACAUUUAGCUUAUCAUCUGUACUUAAUGGCAUGUGAUGACCUGAUUGGUAGCAAAAGUAUCGCAAGUGUUAAGUGAUGAUUAUAGGCUUUAUUUGAUUGCACAUAUUGUGUUUUGUUGAAAUGCACCUAAGAGGAUACAUUUCCAGCAACAUUUGAAUGCUAACGUACAGGGAUGAGCACGGUUUGAUUUGGUGCUGUGUGGAAAAAGAGAGAGAGAGAGAGGAGAGAGAGAGCUAUCACUAUCAUUAAUAUGCCCUUCUUUUCAAGCUUGCUUAGGCUUGACAACAGGAGGGCUAAAGCUAAAUAGUAAACGGAAAACCCAAGCAGCCAAAGUUGCUCCAAUCAAAGGGCAAAUCCAAUACACAUAAAACAACUCCCAACUAUUAUGCCAAUUGUUCAUAUAAGCCCAUCCAUAAGCAUUAGCAGGGUUUAAGGAAGGCCCUGUAUAUUUCCCGCCGGUAACCACCAAACCCACCGUCGCCACCGCCAGCAACCAGACCUUGACCAAAAAAUUCUUGGGCCCUUUAACCAAAACAAUAAGCAAAAAAAGGCAAAACACAAAACUCAAAACCCCUUCUGCAGUUGCACCUGUAUGCAAAUCCACUUUCAAAGAAGGACCCUUCAGGAAAUUUUUAUAUUUUAUUGGCAUAAAUUGCAAAAUUGCUUUGGCUCCAAAAACUCCACCAGCCGCCUGAGCAGGAAACCGGAUCGCCAUGGAUAUUAAAGACACAUCUGGCUUAAGCCCCGCGGCAUAUAAUGAUACGGUGGUUGUUGGGUUGAAACUGGCACCUCCUAACGCGGCGCCGAUCAGGCUGAAAAUUAGAACAAAAGGAGUGGCAAUAUUUAUAGCUAUGAAAAGGGCUGGUAUUGAUUUGGGUUCAACGCCUAUAUUUGAUGCUAUAAUGGAAGUGAAAAUGCCGAGAAAUGGCAGGCUAAAGACCCACAUGGUGGUUAAAAUUGAAUCUGCCAUGGCUGCUUUGAUUAAACUCAUAUCUGCAAGUCCGCUUGCAGGUUUGAAACUGAAGAUAAAAACAAGAAAAGUGAAGGCCAAGUGAGGAUUAUGUCGUUUAGCGAUGUAAAGCGUAGAAAAGAGAUUCUAAAGAUCCCUUUCGUUGUCCUCUUUUGCAUAGCAAGACUUUGAAAUUUCCACCACCGCUUUGUAUACACGCAGACGUACCUAACCAUCCAACCAUAUAAAAAUUACAUGUCAAACACGUGCGAGAGUGGCAAGUAAAUGUAAUAACUAUUACAGUCAAAUACGAAGCGAGUAUAUUUGGCAAAAUUAAUUAUUUAACAGUUAUUCAACUGUUAACUGUUUAAAUUAUUUUUUAUAAAACAUCAAAAAUUUAAGUUACGUGAGUUAAUUUUUUAUAAAAUUUAUCUAAAUCUCUAAUAAUCUAAACGUUAUAUAUUGUCGAAUACUAUAAAAAAUAGUAUCUAACAUUUUGACUAGUCAAAAUGUUAGAAGCUAGCUGAAAAUUUUUUGCUGAAUACAGCCAUAAUAAUUAUUUACUUCCUCGGUCCGUUUUUAUUUUAGAAAGGUGGAUUAAUUAUAUUUAUGGCAUGAAUUUUUCGGUUUUUUUCAUUUCGAUUUAUGAAGAAAAAAAAAUUAUAAUUGAGUGACUAAAUUAUUAAAAAAAGUUAUUAUAUGUAUUUAGCUGAAUUAUUUUGUCAGAAAAUAAAAAUAAACUAUUUUACUCAACAAAUAAUGCCAAAAAUAAAUAUUCAUUCAAUUCAUAAUUUUUUUCUAUAUUUUUAUUUUAUGGCAUCUUCCUGCUAGUACACUUAAUUAUAUAAAAAUAAUUAGGCUAGUACACUUAAUUAUAUAAAAAUAAUUAGUUUAGAGACUUAAGUAUAAUUUAUUUUCAUUUUUGAUGCCAAUGUAGAAAAAAUUUAUAAGUUUGGACACGAUAAUAUAUUAACUAACUAGAUGAAAACCGCACAACCAGCAAGUUAGUUCAUUACCAUAUUAUAUAUCAUAUAUUUUUUUCUGAAAUGAAUAAUUUAAAAAUUGACAAGUAUAUAAAUAAUAAUUAAUUUAUAUUAAUUUAGAAUGUUAAAUUAAUUUAGCAAUUCGAUUUUAAAAAACUAAUUCACAAAGAUACAAUCUAUCAAAUGUUGGUAGAUUAUAACUUUUUUUUUUUAACUUAAUCUAAUUAAGAAUUAACUAGAUAAGUGAUAAGUAAUAACAAUACAUAGAUUCACAAUUUUUCCUCAUUUAUGAUAGAAUGGACGUGAUUUUUGAGAAUUUCAUUCCAUGCAUUUUAGGUUGCACAAGCUAAUUUUGUCUGCGUGUUGUUGCGGUAAUUAUUUACACUUUUAAGAAAUAUUAGUCUCUUUAUAACCUGAAGUUGCACAUUUACUGCUCGUUUAAUUUUUUAUGUCAUUAUUCAUUUUUAUUUGUUAUUUCCUCCGUUUCAUUUAUUUGGAAUUCAGAGGGAGCAUUCUUUAGACCGAACGGCAUUACAUUCCAUUCGUAUUGUCCAAAUGGUUCUAUAAAAGCAUUUUUAUAUCGGUCUUGCUCAUUUAUUUGUACCUGCCAAUAUCCAGACUUCAUAUCAAAUUUUAAGAAGAUAUUAGCAGAGUAAAGUCUAUUUAAUAAAUCUCUUUUAUUGGGUAAUGGAUAUCUAAUCCAGCGUAAUGCCUUAUUAAGUGGCUUGUAAUUAAUGACAAGUCUUGGAACACCACGUUCCAAUUCUGCAUUAUUUUCCACAUAAAAGUCAGCACAGCUCCAUGGGCUUUGGCUAGGCCUUAUUAGCCCUUUCUUUAACAGAGAUUCAAUUUCUGUUUUGCAUAUUUCAAGAUGGCGAGGCCCCAUCGCAAUGGGCCGGGCCUUAGUGGGAACGUUCUGUUCCUGAAAAUCGGGUUCAUAGGGCAAAGUAACUACAUGUUUCUUUCUGGCCCAAAACGCUAUUGGAUUGUCAGAACAUAUUGUCGAUUCUAUUUUUGUGUGUAUUUCUUUAAUCGGUAAAUAAUAUUGGGUAUCUAGUUUCUUUUUUAGCUCUUUUAGCUUAAUUUCUGUAGAUAAAGAAUUAAUAAAAUGAUUUUUAUUUUUCAUUGUGGUUUUUACCACAUCUAUUUCUUUAAUACGUGGUUGAGUAAAAAAUUCGAAGAUAAUGUCUUGACCUUCGAGUUCAGUAACAAUUCCUUUUUCCGAUAUUUGUUUAAUCGGGUAUAGCAUAUGUAAAAAAGGGUUACCAAGAAUUACUGAAUGAGAUAAUCCUUUUACCAUGAUAAAUGGUAAUUGAAAGCAAAUCCCUUUGUUACAUAUUGCAGUAUUUUGGAGUUUAUAUUUAUCUCCCAUUUUACUUCCAUCAGCCGUAUUUAAUUCUUCAACUGUUUUUUCAAAAUAUCGGGAUGGUACUAAGCCUUCAUUAAUACAAUUCAGAUCAGCGCCUGAAUCGAUUAAGGCAAUUGUAUCAAAGAUAUAUUCUUUAUGGACAACAAUAGUGACUUUAGUAUGCCAUUUCUGGGUAAUGACCCGGUCUACUAAAUUCACAUAUUGAAGAUCAUUAUUUGGAGCAGUAAGAGUUUGUUCUUCAUUAAACUCAAGCUCAUCUUUAUUUAAUAAUUCAAGAAAGACAACUCUAUCUCUUAAUUGUUGUAAUUCUGUCUUUACUUGAUUUAUUUCGCUUCGUAAUUCUUGAAGCGUAGGCUCACGUUUAGCCUUUGCGAUUUUAAGCUUAUCAAAGAUAGCUUUAAUAUCAUAAUAGGGUUGUGUUGUCUCUUCUACUUUCUUUAGAAGAGGUUGUGCUGAGGAUGAUGGCCUAUCGUUUUGUAAAGAAAGAUAGUUUUCUAAUUGUUCUCUUUUUCUUUUCUCAUCUGGAAGUUGAUCGAUUAAAUCAAGGAUGAGAGAAUCCUUUUUUGUGAGAACAUAAAGGCCAUUCAUAACACAGAGUGAUUUAUAAUAAUCACACUGUCCUUCACAAGUGUCUUUUUCUUUAGACGACUCUUCUCGUUCUGAAUCUUCAGACGUAUAAUCAAUAGCAUUAAUUGUAUUAUCUUCGUCUGAAUCAGUUUCAUUAAUAAAUAAUUUUUUUAACGAUUUCUUUAGCUCUUCAUCGAUGGUGAGAGCUUGUAUUUGUUGUUUCAUAUGACACUUAUUAGCAUAAUGUCCUACUCUGCCACACCGAUAACAGGCUAUUUGUGAUUUAUCUUUUCUAGUCUUAUGGGUUUUACUAGAUUUAGGUUUUUCCCUAUGUUCUUUUUUAGGAGCCUUUUCAAACCUAUGCUUUCGUCUAGGUUUCCAUGACUUUCUAUAUUUUUCUUUAUGAGAACUAGAGCUAGUUUUCCAAAUAGGUUCGUACCCAAAUUGUUCACAGAAAGUGCCUAAGAUUCUUUUUCCUGACUGUUUUUCUUUUUCCAUUUGCCUAUGUAUUUUUAUUUCAUUACAUAAGGCUAAUCCUUCUGCUACUACUUCUGAUGCUAGCUCUCCAUAUGUAUAAGUAUUAUAGGGGAUUAUACCAUUGUUUUUAUCCCUAAGUCUAGUACGGACACGUUCAGCAAAUAAAAGAGGAAGGCCAGAUAUAAAUUUUUCCUUCCAAAAAUCAAACUGACUGUCUUCUCUAACUAGUACAGCGGUCAAAAAGACGUCUUUGUACCAUUUAAAGUGUGACAUAUCAGGACAGCGUAAAUUCAUUAGUUGUUCAUGGGUCCUUUCAGUUUGCAUAGAUGUUGGACCAAUAAAAUGUAAUCCUAUCGUAUAGAGAAGGGUAUUUACCGCUUGUGGUACUUCUCUAUGACGUGUUUGUUGCUGUUCAUCUUUAUAUUCUUCCAUUGUAACAGCAUUUUCAAUUUGAUCUUUACCCUCUUGGGUUAGAGCAAAAUCCCACCAACCUUUGAGUUGGCCUACGAAUCCUGCAACUAUAGCUUUUUUAAUUUCUUUAUCCGAGUUUCCUCGAAUUCGACAGGCUGUUGCAUACAUGGUCAUGUAUUGUAAAACAUUUUUUAUCUGAUAAUCAGAUAGACCAUCUAUAUUCCAUUCCACUAAUGAUUGCCCAUCAUAUUGGACAUAGUUGAAUGAAGGAUCUUCAUAUUGCAUAUUCACAGGCGACGGUCUAGGAUAAUAUGGUUUGAUAUCGACCAUUCCCCGUGCUCUGGGAUAUGUAAUUUUGUUAAUUUCAUUAACGGAUUUCAGAGUUUGUUCCAGAUGUAAAAGUUCUUGAUCUGGUCGCUCAUCUAAUGAAUCGUUAUCAGACGAGGAUUUAACUGUUAAUGGAUAUAAAUCUUUAUCCUUUCCUUUAUCUUUCAUGGAUAACUGGUUUAAUCUUUUUGUAAUUUCUUCAACCACAUCAUCUUUUGGUGAAGAUAAAGUAAAGUUUUCUGGAUGUAUUGUGGGUUUAAACAACACAGCCUUUUCUUGACCUCCAAGAAUGCCCCACAUAAAAAAAAAUCUGAUUGUGUAUGCAUUAAAUUUAAUUGCAAAAAUGUAUAAGUGGUGCUCAUUGAAAAGUUUGGUGCACACCUUUUACUCAUCUGUGUAACUCCAGAAAUACAAAAUGCAUGCAACUUAAUAUAAAAUACACGUAUGUAUUGAAGAGGAUUGAAAUAAAUAAAUAAUAAAACGUCUACAAACACAAUGUAUGUUAUCGCAAUAUUUGCUUCGAUCAUUGAUUUAUCUCAAAAUUUUUAAUCUUAAGCUGUUACUUUUGAGUUUUUCAGUUUUAGUCAUUAAUUGAUUUUAUUGGGAGAAGAGAGCAUAACAUAAUUGACUUUAAGUGAAAAAUGGUGUAAUAAAUGCAAUGUUGAGAGUAAAUUUGAAAAAAAAUUUCUUUCCUUAAUUCCCGUGCAAACCAACUUUUGCCUAAAUAACCGAAAUGGAUUAAGUAUUUAUAUUCGUUUUUAAAAUUAAAAUUUUCAACUGUUUGUUAUUCCACAUAUACAUACGUUCUUUUUUAUUUAAAAAUAUGACUAUUAUUUAAAUUAAUUAUCCUAAACUCAAAUAUUAUUAUUAUAUUAUAUUAAUAUAUUAUUAUUGGUCAAUGGAUUGAAGAAAUAUUCUAGAACUUAAUUGAACCAAUUAAAAUAAGGAGCAACUUAAUAAAGGUUAAAAUAAUAGGUUUUUAUUUUAAGAGAAUGUCAAAAAAAAUAUAAAUUAAAAGAAAAUAUCAAUAUUAGUCAAAAAUAAAAUUGUAAGUCCAUCAAAUUAGGUUGGAUUAGGCCGAAUUGCUCGGUGGAUCAGGUUAAAACGGAUCAAGUGCACUAUUAAUUAGGGGUGGCCACGGUUCCAGAACUGGCGGUUCCGGUUCCAAAAAAAUUGGAGCCGGAACUGAACCGAAAAGGUCCGUUUUCGAUUUCGGUACGGUGACAAAACCGACGGUUCCGAUUGGUUUUCUGGCGAAUCGCAUAAUUUUAAAUUUUAAAUUUUGAAGACCGGUUUUCAAAAUUUAAUAAAUUUGUGAAAGUUAUUUGUAAAAAAAAUACACCUGAAAAAUUAAAAAAUACUUCAAUUAAAUUUAUUUUUUUAAAGACUUGAACAUAAUUAUUUUUUUUAAAAAAAUUCUUCAAUUGAAUUUAUUUUUUGUUUAAAAAAAUUUGAACAUAAUUUGAAAAAAAAAAAACAAAACUGACAGUUGAUAAUGGCUCCCAANNNNNNNNNNNNNNNNNNNNNNNNNNNNNNNNNNNNNNNNNNNNNNNNNNNNNNNNNNNNNNNNNNNNNNNNNNNNNNNNNNNNNNNNNNNNNNNNNNNNNNNNNNNNNNNNNNNNNNNNNNNNNNNNNNNNNNNNNNNNNNNNNNNNNNNNNNNNNNNNNNNNNNNNNNNNNNNNNNNNNNNNNNNNNNNNNNNNNNNNNNNNNNNNNNNNNNNNNNNNNNNNNNNNNNNNNNNNNNNNNNNNNNNNNNNNNNNNNNNNNNNNNNNNNNNNNNNNNNNNNNNNNNNNNNNNNNNNNNNNNNNNNNNNNNNNNNNNNNNNNNNNNNNNNNNNNNNNNNNNNNNNNNNNNNNNNNNNNNNNNNNNNNNNNNNNNNNNNNNNNNNNNNNNNNNNNNNNNNNNNNNNNNNNNNNNNNNNNNNNNNNNNNNNNNNNNNNNNNNNNNNNNNNNNNNNNNNNNNNNNNNNNNNNNNNNNNNNNNNNNNNNNNNNNNNNNNNNNNNNNNNNNNNNNNNNNNNNNNNNNNNNNNNNNNNNNNNNNNNNNNNNNNNNNNNNNNNNNNNNNNNNNNNNNNNNNNNNNNNNNNNNNNNNNNNNNNNNNNNNNNNNNNNNNNNNNNNNNNNNNNNNNNNNNNNNNNNNNNNNNNNNNNNNNNNNNNNNNNNNNNNNNNNNNNNNNNNNNNNNNNNNNNNNNNNNNNNNNNNNNNNNNNNNNNNNNNNNNNNNNNNNNNNNNNNUGCACCGGGUCGACCCUGUGGUUCUAGCCGCCCGAAGAACCGGCGGUUCCAAUCCGGUUCCGACCAAUUUUUUAGAACCGCCGGUUUCGGUUCCAAAAAUCUAGAACCGGAACCGAACCGAAAAUCUUCGGUUCCGAUUCUGAUUCGAAUUGAUUCAGAUUCCCACCGGUUCUGAUUACGGUUCGAGACCGGUUCAAACCGAUAUUUUCGGAUCCCGAGACAUAAUAUGCCACCCUUACUAUUAAUUCGUUAUGACCUACUGAUCACGGACAAGAACAUGGCAUUUAUUUACUUUGACAUCGGGACUUGCCCCGAAAUAGGUCGUCAUUAAAACAAACUAGGCUUUGUCAUUUCAACAUGCUUUUUUUCCUUUAUUUGAGAAUAUUAAAAUGCAAAUUUUUUUUGACAAAAUUUCAUCUGUUUCAAAUUGAAAUACAAAAUUAAAAUUGAAUUGUCAAAUUUCAAUUCUAGUUAAAAAUGAAUAUCUAAUGCAAUUGAAAUUGUAAGACCAAUUAAAUUUUAUAAAGGGCUAAAUCACAACCAGAAAAUGAUCAACUUUAACAUUUUUAAUAAAUUUAGCCAACAUUUUUAAUUUUAUCAAUUAUUAUUUUAGAUUUAUUUUUUCUUAUUAAUUAACGUAUUCGUCUAGAUCCGUUAAUUUAUUACUUAUUUUGGUCGUUAGUUGAUCUCAUAACAUAUCAGCUCAUUAUUACUUUUAAAAUAUCUAAGUUGGAAAAUUAGAUUGUUAAGAUAAUUUCAUUCUUAUUUCACUGUAAAUUGAAAAAAUUUAGUUCGGUUAGAUAAUUAAUAUGGACCCUCAACGAACAAUCCGCAUCGUCAUCAACCCCAAGUCCACCGAUAAGUAUUUUCACUUCCAGAGUUGCAUCAUUCGACUGCACUUAAUCGGAUUCUAGAUGGAGACUUAAUAAUAAAAAGUAAGUAUAAAGCAUUAAUGGAUAAAAUUAAAAGUGUUAGCCAAAUUUAAAAAAGAAAAAUUCAAAAGUUCAUGCUUUUAUGAUUAAGCCUUUAUAAAACUAAAAAUUAACAAAAAAAUAGGCAAAAAUUUAAAUUUCUAAUUAAAAUGUGGAUUCUCAAUUCAACAAUAAUUUAUAUUCAACAAUAGUAAACAUUAUAUUAAAUAAGAUAUAACACAAAACUGCAAAAAUUAUUCAUUUUUAAAAAGAGAAAUAUAACAAUAAUUUAGUACAAGUAAAAUUUAAAAGGGAAUCAAUUCCACCGAAACAGAGAAGUACUAUUUUCCUUUUGAGAAAAAAUAAUUUUUGCAGUUUCGUAUUAUAUAUUUAUUUAAUGUGUAUCUCGACCCAGCAAGUAUAGAUUCUUGCAUAUUGCUAACUACAUAUCUAUAAUUACCUUAAACCUUGUUUGCAAAAUAAUUUAACAUUAAUUAUUUAAUUUUAAUAGAACCACAUGGAUAAUUUAAUAUUAAUGUAAUGACUAUUUGAAAAAAAGUUAAGCGAAAAUUAUAAUUUAAACAUAUUAUUAAUUAUAUUUUUUUAAUAUGUAUGAAAAUUAAAGCACGUGUAUUUUUAUGGAAUGGAGAAGCGGUAAUAAUAUUAAUAUUUAUAUAUUAAUAAAAUAUAUUAAUAUAUUAUAACUAAAAAAAUCAUAGAACUAUAUUAUUUAUAAAAUGUUAAAAUAUUAUUAGAAUAAAUUAUACUAACAUCUAAAAAUAAUUAUUUUAUUUCAAUAAUAAUUUUAAAAUUAAUUAUCGAUAAAUUCGUUUUCACAUCAGUUCAAACAUGUAACACCUUCGUUCAAGGAAAUUUUUUACCUACAUCCGGUAUAUGGAUGGUCUCAUAUACUAAGUCAAUUCAAAAUAUAUUUUUUCUCCAUGUAUAGUUGAAAAUAUUCUCAUUUAAAUUAAAAUUUUAUCUAUAAUUAUUUGUUAUAUAGGUAAUUUGGUAAACCCAUACAGCAAGUGUAUGCAAGUGUUUCGCUUCCUUCAAAGUGAAACUCAAACAUAAUGUCAUCAAAAUAAAAAAAAAAAAAAAAUCUAUAUCUAUAUAUCUAUAAAAGAAGGGUGGUUUUAUUAUAUGAAAGUCAAACGUAAGUAGCACAAUUUAUCAUUUGACAGUAUUUUGGAUUAUAAAAUGAUAAAUGUUAGAAUUCUAAAUUAAGUUGUUGGACUGAUUUUUUUUAAAGAAAAAAUCACAAAAAUAAAUUUUUAAAAAACACUUCAUUUUUUCUUGGUAAUAGAAAACAAUCCUUAGUUGAUUAGCUUGGUGUAUGGAGUAAUCUCAUAUUCAAUAAGUUAGGUCGCACGAACACAGAACACGAGAUACGAAAAUAUAGGAGAUAUGACAAUUUUUUAAAAAAUAAGACAUCCACAUACUUAAAAUACACUACACUAAAUAAGUAUAAUGUAUUAAUAUUUCAAAUAAAUAAACAAUCAGUUAUAAUAAAUCAUAAAUAUAAAAUAAAAAGUAAUUAAUUUCUUAUUUCAAUAUAAUUAGUUAAAUUCUCAACUGAACUGAUUAAUAUGCAGUUUAGAGCUAAUCUUCUCCUAUUUCAAUUUAUUAUCAUAGAUUUCAUUAAAAAAUCUCUUUUUAUUGGAAAUAAUUAAGAGUAUGACAAAGCCGAAUAACUUAUUAAGACUAUUGAAAUAUGUUUUUAGUUGUGACGAGAGUUUUGAUCAUUCACUAAUAAAAAAAGACACAAAAAUAAAUUUUAAAAAAAAAUCAUUUUUUUUUUUUGUAAUAAAAAAAAAACUUUAGUUGAUUAGUUCGGUAUAUGAAGUAGUUUCAUAUACCAGGAGUUAAAUUGUAGGGAUACAAGACACGAGAUAUAAGAAUGUAUGAGAUAUCAUAAUUUUUAAAAAGGUAGGACAUCUACAUGCUUAGGAUACACUAUACUAAAUAAAUAUAAUACAAAAAUAUUUCAAAUAAAUAAAUAAUCAUUUAUAAUAAAUCAUAAACAUAAAAUAAAAACAUACAUAAUUUCUUAUUUAAAUAUAAUCCAUUAAAUUAUCAACUAAACGGAUCAAUAAGCAGCCUAGAGCUAAACUUCUCCUAUUUCAAUUUAUUUACCAUAAUUUUCAUUAAACAUUUCUCUUUGAUGGGAAAUGAUUCUAGAGUAUGGCAGAGAUGAACGACUUACUAAGACUACUGAAAUAUGUUUUUAGUUGUAACGAGAAUAUUUUUGAUUAUUCAUUAAUAAAAAAGACAUAAACAAUUUAAAAAAAACACUUCAUUUUUUCUUAAUAAUAAAAAAAAUCUUGAUCGAUUAGCUUGGUAUAUGGAGUUGUCUCAUAUAUUAUGAGCUAAAUUUCAUUGACACGGGACAUGAGAUACGGAAAUGUAUGAGAUACGAUAAUUUUUUUAAAAAAUAGGACAUCUACAUACUUAGAACACGAUAACUAUAAUAUAUUAAUAUUUUAAAUAAAUAAACAAUCAUUUAUAAUAAAUAAUAAACAUAAAAUAAAAAUACUUAAUUUUUUAUUUUAAUAUAAUUAUUUAAAUUCUCAAAAAUUAUUAUUACUAUUGAAAAAUAUAUUAACAGUGUAUGUGAUUUUUUAACACAGGUCAUAUAAUACAUGACUUUUGUGAUUAUACAUCUCGAUGCAUGGCUUUGUAGGAUAUUUAAAAAAUUUUGUUAUUUUGGUAUCUCAUUUUAAUAUAUAUAUAUAUAUAUAUAUAUAUAGUAUCAUAGUAUUAUAGUAUUUCUCAUUGACGACCUCGCUCAAACUAAUUUUGAUUUCUUCGAGGGACGCGGUGUGGACCGAAGAAAAAGGACAUGCUGAGCUAGAUACUGCAACUACAGAGUACAGCUCAUUACACAUUGAUUUUCUGCUUACUUAAUCUCAUCAACAAGGCAACAGAUCUGUAUCUAUAACUCUUCUACCGAACUCCAAGAAUCUUUGCAACUAUUCUUCUUCUUCUUCCUUCUCUUAUGACCGACAUUGUCUUUACUCUUUUACACCAAAACAGAGAUAAAAAAGAAAUUCCCAUAGCCUUAAAAACAAAAAAGAAAAAGAAAUAAAAGAGUGUUAUAGCGAGACUUUACAGAGAGAAAGUGAAAGCCAUAUAGUUUAUUGGAUUUUCUUUUUCUUCUUCUUUUUCUUUUUGCAAGAUUCUUUCUAAUCUUUCUUGCACUUCAGUCCCAUUUCUUUUUCAGCAAGUUUGUUUAGAUAGCGGGAGCAAGUGUGUCUCUUUGUGUUGUGGAGAGAUGGGUAACCAUAGAAAUGUAUGUUCUUUCAUGGUAAUACUGUUGUUAUUGACUUGCGUUAGCGGAGAGGACCCUUACAGGUUUUAUUCAUGGAAUGUCACCUAUGGUGAUAUCUACCCACUUGGAGUAAAGCAACAGGUAAUCAAUUAAGCUCUUUCCUUUUCUUUUUUGAAGGAAUUUGUUUAUUGUUGCUUUGUUUCUUACUAGAUUUCAAUGUCCAAUAAUAUAUUUUUUCCAUGUAUAAUGGUGGCAGGGAAUAUUAAUAAAUGGGCAAUUUCCAGGGCCACAAAUUGAGUCAGUGACUAAUGAGAAUUUGAUUAUUAAUAUUUUCAAUAGCUUGGAUGAACCUUUCCUUCUUUCUUGGUCAGUAUACUGUUUUUAGUAUAGUUUCCAUUUUUUUUUUUUCAUAUAUGUUUGCCAGCUCUUUUUUUAAUUAUUUUUGAAAUUGAAUGGUCAGCAAAAUAACCUUUUUCUCAUAUUAUAUAAUGUGGCUUACUAUGACACAUUAUGUGAAAAUUUGAUAUAAGAUAGAUCUCAGGUUUUAUGGCUUCCUCUACCCAAUGUUGAAAAUUAUACAUGGUUGCUGAUUUGGAUUCUUCUGCCAAGUGUUCUGCAAAUUAUGUGGAAAAGAAAUUUUUGAUCUUGAUUGAUAAUGAGACAUGGGCGUUUAAAGUUUUGGACCACAAAUUAAAAAAUAUAUAUUGUGUAGUACCUUUUUAAUGCAGUUAUGUGAUUUGACUGGUAGGAAAUUUGUUUAAAAAUAGUAGGUCCAGAUCUGUUUUUAUGCCCUAAAUUGGCAUUAGAUAUACUAAGAAAUUGAAUAUGAGUUGUCUGUUUCUUACCAUAUUAUAAGUGGACCCAAGUUCUGGAAUUUUGAUCUUUUAUUCACACCAAGAGUUUUGUAAGUCUUGCUCAGAUUUAGAGUUGUUGCUACUGACUUCUCUUUCUGAACUAGUAGAAAGAUUCCUAAGUUUUGGAAAUUAAUUAAAACCAUAACUCCCUAUUAGGUGGAAUACUAAGUUGUUACAAUUACAAAAAUGGGGAUACGAAUAGCCCUACUCAUUUUUUAAACCAUGGAAUGCAAACCAGCUUCUUUGUAGCAACCUUUAACAGAAAUGACUUAGAGCUUUGUUCAAGCUCAAUUAAUGCAUGAAAUCAUUAAAAACUAUUCAAGUUUCUUCUUAAGUAUUUGGCUAAAUUAUACCUUGCUCGCUAACCUUGGGGAUUAUCUGAAACAAGAUUCUGUUUUCUAAAAGUUUCAAUGUCAGCCCCAAAAUUUUAUAAAUAAUUCCAAUUGGAAACCUUGGAAAUUUCAUUCCUUGAAUUGCUUCAGUUUUAUAUGAAAUCUUAAAAUUUAGACUGUGAGGGAAUGUUUUAUGAGUUCAAUAUUCAUGGACAGUGAAAAUCUAUUCGUGGAUUAUGAUUAAAAAUAUCCAACUGCAUAUAUAGAAUUCCACUCUGAAAGCUAUCACAGACUAGUUUAGCUAUUUCAUAUAUAAAUCGAAUGUAUUUGUAUCUCUGUGUAUUUAAGGCUGAAACUAAUUUGUCAAACAAAAAUUGCUAUGAAAGAAAUUUUUAAAGAAAAUGUGAUGGUUAUAGAAAUUGAAAUAUAUAAAAGUCUAUUUUCUAUAAGAGGGUGGAGUUGCAUUGUUCAUCACAAAUUUUUUUUGUAUUAUUAUGUUUAUUUUAGGGAGUUCUAUAAGUGAGUCAAGAUGAUUAAGUCAGUAUAGAUGGCAAGUUUAGAUAGAGGGCAUGGGUUAAUAUCGCUUAGGACGCAUUUGGUUUGCUUUGGGAGUGGAAUGAGAAUGAAAAUGGAUGGUUAAUAUUUCAAUUAUUUUCACUUGAAGUUAAUUAUUCGGAUGUUCAAAUAAUAAUUUAACUAUGCAAAAAGUUUUUCUAAAAAAAUUUUCUCAAAUAAAUCCAUGUAUCAAUGACACAAAAAUGGAUUCCAAUUAUAGAAAUGGCAAACUAUUCCCAUUUUCAUUGUGAAAAAAAAAAAAAAAUUGGCAUGAAUAUUUGAUGAAGGAUGCAACUUGCUCUAAGUAAUUUAUUUAUUUUUAUUUAUUAAGUUUUUAAGGAGACUAGAGAUUUGGACGUGCAUAUAAUGAUAUUUAUCAACUGCAUGUCUGCUAGUCUAGUUGUAACUCGUGUUAUUUUGGUACAGGAAUGGCGUGCAGCAGAGAAGGAACUCAUGGCAGGAUGGUGUCUACGGCACCAACUGUCCCAUUCCACCAGGGCAGAACUUCACUUAUAUGCUUCAAGUGAAGGAUCAGAUUGGUAGUUACUUCUAUUUCCCUUCUCUUGGCAUGCAUAAGGCUGCAGGAGGCAUUGGUGGCUUCAAAAUUGCGAGCCGUUCUGUCAUUCCUGUACCAUUCCCUCCUCCAGCUGGUGAUUUCACUGUUCUAGCAGGUGAUUGGUUCAAGAAGAAUCACACCGUGAGUAUAAUCCAGAAAGAAAUUCCAUGUUGCACUGAUGUUUGUUGACUCACUUUUGUUUGUUUGACGAGUGUAUAAUUGAUUAUUUACAGGAUCUGAAAGCAAUUUUAGAUGGUGGAAGUGAUCUUCCUUUCCCUGAUGGGCUACUUAUUAAUGGUCGAGCAUCAAAUGGGUACACAUUUACAGUGGAUCAAGGUAAGAAGUUAGGUUCAUCAGUUUGUCAAGUUUCAAACCUCUAUGUAUGUGAUAGUGCUUAUACUUGUUCUGUUGAAUGUGUUGGACAGGCAAGACUUACAGGUUCCGGAUAUCUAAUGUGGGGCUUACUACCUCCAUAAAUUUUAGAAUCCAAGGGCACAAGAUGUUACUUGUAGAGGUUGAAGGAACACACACGCUCCAGAACACUUAUGAUUCCCUUGACAUCCAUCUGGGGCAAUCUUAUUCUGUACUGGUUACAGCUGAUCAACCUGCACAAGAUUACUACAUUGUCGUCUCGACACGAUUUACCUCCCAGGUGCUCACAGCAACCUCUACUCUUCAUUACAGUAAUUCAGCUGGAAGUGUUUCAGGUCCUCCCCCCGGUGGGCCAACUACUCAGGUUGACUGGUCCCUUGAGCAAGCUCGAUCUAUCAGGUAUUCUCUGAAUUUCUAUUAUUAAGCGCCUCUUAUAUAUGCAUUACAAUAAUUAAUUAAUGCACAAGAAUAUAUAGAAGAUACUAUCAUUUUAUGCUUUUGUCAUGAUGAAUAUUAGAGGAGUGUCGUUUACAUGAUAUCUCCUUUUAAUUUGUGUUGUGUCAUAUAUUUUAUCAGGAAAAAUCUCACUGCAAGUGGUCCUAGACCAAACCCCCAAGGUUCAUACCAUUAUGGAUUGAUUAACACAACCCGUACGAUUAGAUUACAAAAUUCUGCUCCAAUCAUUAAUGGCAAGCAGAGGUAUGCUGUCAAUAGUGUCUCCUUCAUCCCUGCUGAUACUCCACUUAAACUCGCGGACCACUUCAACAUCCCGGGAGUUUUCUCCCUCGGAAGCAUCCCUGACAACCCCACUGGAGGCGGUGCUUACCUCCAGACUUCUGUCAUGGCUGCUGAUUUCAGAGGUUAUGCUGAAAUUAUUUUUGAGAAUACAGAAGACACGGUGCAGUCAUGGCAUGUUGAUGGUCACAUCUUGUUUGUUGUAGGGUAAGUUAAUUUAUUUGGAUUUACAUUUAUAAAAAAAUUGAUUGCCUUGUGCUAUUCGCUAUCAUUUGGGCCUCUACCUUUAGUUCUUAUCUUCUGCAUUUCUGUUUCCUCAUUCCUCUGAUGGGCAGGAUGGAUGGCGGGCAAUGGUCACCUGCGAGCAGAUUAAGUUAUAAUUUGAGAGACACAAUUUCUCGGAAUACUGUUCAGGUACAGUAUAAAUUGUUACAUAUAUUUGGUCAUUUAAGCUCAUGUUAGUCCAAAUAGUGUUAUAAUAGAGGUAUAAUUUAUAGUCUUUUGGCAUUUUUUUGGUCUAAACACAGGUCUAUCCAAAAUCAUGGACUGCAGUUUAUAUGCCUUUGGAUAAUGUGGGUAUGUGGAAUAUAAGGUCUGAGAACUGGGCUCACCAAUAUUUAGGACAGCAAUUUUAUCUUCGUGUUUAUUCGCCGGCAAAUUCAUGGAGAGACGAAUAUCCCAUCCCAACUAAUACCAUUCUUUGUGGCCGAGCUGCCGGUCGCCAAAUUCGGCAUGUAUAGAUGAGCAGGAUCUGUAGAAUGUCAUGAAAGCUUGACAUGGGACUACAUUUCCAGGAAUGCAGAGUUUUAGUAAAAACUUUAAAGGGCUUGGCUCGAGCCAAUUUUUUUACUUGGAAGUUAUAUUUCUUGAAAUUUCUGUUUCUUUAUCCCAUACAAUAGUCCCAAGCAUUGUUUCUUCAUAUAUCUAAUUCUGAUUCAUAAAAAUACACUAGGUUAAGAAUUAAAAUUUUGAUAACAUAAAAAUACUCAAAGGUGUAUAUAUAUAUAUAUAUAUAUAUAUAUGGAGUGAAAGGCUCAGGCAUUUCAUCUAAGCAACAAGCUUAAAUCAUUUGCCACAAUUCCUAGGUAUAUGAUGUAUAGUCUCUAUUCAAUGGUCCCGACCCCUAAGCAUUAAGCAUCAACCAUAUUUUCUUUUUCUCUUUUUCUCGGUGUCUUCAUAUUCAGAUUUUAAACUCCUCAUUUUACAACUACAGUUUACUAUGAAAUAUAGUGCAGUCACUUUCACUUAUCCAACUCCUAUUAGUAAUAAAAAUUAUUAAUAAACUAAUUUUAAUCAGCUAUCAACGGCCAUUUAUCAAUACAUUCUUAGUGAUAGUCUCAAAAAAACUGAAGGAGAUUAGAAUAGAGAAGGAAAAGUAAAAUAGUGUUGAAAACAUGUUUAAGACAACAGUUUAGAUUGAGAAGAGACAGUGAAGAGAUUAGUUAACCGUUUGAAAAUUGGUAGAGAUCUUUUAGGGAUUUAGAGUUCACAGUUGACUGUACUCAUUAUUCAUAUUCAUUCAAUUUUUAUGUCAUUACUCAAAUUUACUUGUUAUUUAUACUUGUUUUUAUUUUUAAAUAUUAAAUAUUGAUUAUAUUUUGUCUUAUAUUAUUGAGAUUUUUAUAAUGUUAAAACAAAAUUUUAUAUGAGAUUACUAUGAAUAUAAUGAUUAGUUAAUAAAACAACAGUGUGUAUAUAUACAAAUUUCAAUUCAAUUUAUAUCACUGUUUAUCUAAAAUUGAUAUAUGUACAAUUCUACAAUAUCACUUAAUAAAUACAUUUCAAUAUAUAUAGAUACAUAGAUAUAAAAAUAAAAAUAUUAUAUAUAUUUUUAAAAUAAAAAUUUUCAGCUGUUGGUCAUCCCACACGCAUGUUCAUUUUUAUUUAAAAAUAAAUAAAUUUUAAAAAAUUUAAAAUUUAAAAUUUUUUGAAAUGUAUUUUUAUUUGGAAAUAUAUAUAUUUUAUUUAAAAAUAAUUUUAAUAAAUUAUAGAUUUUACUAUCUUUGCUUUCCUUUGAAUUGUUCAAAGAACAUUUUUUUGUUUAUUAUUUUCUCUUUAUCGCUAAAAACAGUUUUGAUAAAAAUCAAAUUAUAUCCCUCAUCUGUCUAAUUAUACGUCAUAUUUUAAUUCAUUUCUCACGUUGAAGUUUCAAGAUAUAUUCUUUUUUUUUUAAAAAAAAGAUAUAUUCUAUUAAUUUGUAUGAAUAUAAAUAUAUAAAUAAAUGGGUACUCGAUAUAAUAUAUGAAUUAGUUUGAAAAAAGAAAAAAAAAUAUAAGAUAAACAAAAACAAAUAAAUUAUAUAAUAAAAUAAAAUGUAAUUUAUAUAUUACUAUUCUUAAUUAAAAAAUUAUAUACAAAUUUCAAAUUAUAAUUAUAUUAUAAAAAUUGAAACUCAUAUUUUUCCAGACGUUUUCAUGACGAUUCUGAAAGUAGUACAAUAAUUAAAUCUAAAAAAUAAAAUAAUAGUAACAUACAAUCAACUUUUAAUAUCUAGUGAUAUAUAUUACAAAAAAAAAUUAAAUAAAUAGAGAGUCAAUUUUUUAAUCUUCUCUUCUUUUUUUUUUCCGUGCGUGUAUAUAUAUUAGUUCUAAAUUUUAAAAUAAUUUUAAUAAAUUAUAUCUAAUCAAUUAAUAAAAUAUAAUUUUAUAAUUGAUUAUAGCUAAGGUUAAUUUAUAAUAUUUAAAUUUCAUUGAGGACGUUAUCGGAAAUCUCAUUAUCUCCGUCCUUAUUCCUAUUUAUAUAUAGCAUAGAUUGAGAGGAAAUUAUUAUAUUAUCUAAAAUUAUAAAUAACUUAAAUAUUAAUAUUAUCGUAUCAGAAAUUUAUAUUGUAACAAAAGUUAAAAUAAUAAAACUAUAUUUAACUGAUUUAGCAUUAAGAAAAUAGAAAAAUCUCAAAUUAUAAAUGCACGAGGUUUGCUAAGCUACUAUUAUUAUUAUAAUAAAUAAAAUAAUUUAGAAUUAUGGAACAAAUUAUAUAAUUAAAAGUCAAAUUAUUUAUGAUUUAUUACCGCAAUAAAAUAUGUAUUAACAGUAAUGAUGUCCUAAGAUCUUUUUCCUUUUGAGGGAAAUAUAAAAUUUAUUAAACUUAAAAAUAUUAUGGACAUUUUAGUCAUAUUAUAUAAAAAAUAGCAGAGUUUAUUUUAUUUAUCCAUAAAAUAAAAUUUUUAUCACAUAUUAUUUGAACAGCAUAUUAAGUUGGUUCUCUGUAUUCAUUAAAAACGGUCAACUUUUGAUGAGUUGUAUUAGAAAUAAAAUCAUUUAAAAAAGAAAAAAGAAAAGAAAUAAAUAAUAUCAAGAACCCAGUGUGCAUAAAUGCAGUUAGCUACUUAGCUCUGGUCUUGGAGUUGACUGGCAGAAGCAUGCGCAUGGGCAAUUGGGCAUAAGCUAAUGUACGGCAACUCAUAACAUAAUUAUUCUCACCCACUCCAACAAUAAGUUUCAGACAAAAUAAACCGACUACGAGUUGGUUGGCAGGACUCGGCAAACUAUUCGACCAAUUUGGUUCAGAACAUGAGAAAUCGAUUUUCGGUUCAAUUAAUAAAUUAAGCUUUAUUCGAUGACCGGUUUUAUUUUGGUUAAAACUAAAUCUAAUCAUGUUAACUAAAUUAACUGAAUCUAACCGUGUUAAUCAAAUUAAUUAAAUUAAUCCAACUGUACGUAGGGAUGCACAAGACUUAUUCUAACCGAUCUAACUCAAGCAAUUCGACCCACUGCAAUUUAAUCUAAUGAGUUUGAAAAUAUAAUGAGCUACAAUUGAAUGUGUCAUCUUCACAAUUCACCACCCAAUCUUGUGAAUAAUAAAUAUCUAUAUAUAAUCAUUAAUUAUUUGAGUUAAUUUAAUUUGAUCUAUAAUUUUGGAUAUAAUACUACAUCAUUUACAUAUUAGUGGGUGUUGCCUUUUAAAUUGUUACUUUUUUCUUUAAUAAAAACUUAAUUUUGAAAUGCUUCUAUGGGAAUAUACUAAAGUUUAAAACUUAUUAUAUAAUUAUAUUAUUAAAUUUAUUAGUUGUUUUUCUUAUUAGAAAAUUUAAUUUUCAUUCUUGUUGCUUAUUAUUAUUAUUAUUAGGAAAUUACUAUUAUUAGUAUUAUUAGGAAAAUUAUUUUGUUAGUAGAAUAUAUGACUGCUUGUGAAAAUUAUCUUGUAAUUAUGUUCGAUAUAUAUAUAUAUAUAUAUAUAUAUAUAAUUUUCUUUUAAAUAGUUGUAUUUUAUUUAACAUUAUUUAUAUUAUUUAUUAUUUAAUUCUUAAGGUUUAUACUAAAUUCGUAUCCAACUCAACUCAUUCAUUAUCCGCAUGUCCACGCAAUUGAUGAAUUGAAUCGGAUAAAAAAAAAUCAUUCAUUGGCACAUACGAGUUUGGUACAUUAAAUUAACGAAACCGGAGUCAACCCAAUCCAUGUAUGAUUCUAACUAUAUGUAUACUUUUAUUAUGUUCUUCAAUUGAUGGAAUGAAUUGUUUCAGUUAAAAUCGUGUAGUGAGAUAUUUCCGCUGAAAUUGAUCGGUUAAUUUGGUUUUCAAUUUUAUUUAUUUUGGUAGUACAAAAUUUAAAUUGGCCAAUUUGACUUAGUUAAAUACUCUCACCAUGCUUAUAUGUAAAUUGGUGAUUUAAAAUAUUUACAAGGUUUCUAAAUUUGUAUAUUUAAAUAAUUAUUUUUUUUAUAAAAUAAUUUUUAUGAUUGUGUAAUAAAAAAAGGACUUUUGUUAAUAUCUUAAUAAAUUAAGGGUAAAAUAAGAUAAAAUAAUUUUUAUUAAUUAAAAUUUUAAUACGCUUAUACGUAAAUAAAAUGGUACGAAAGGGAUAUAUAAUUUUGUUAGAUUCAAAUUUUAAUUAAUUUGGUUGGAUAUAGACAAAAUAAAUAGAAUUGAUAUACUAUACGUAUUCAAAGUCAAUCUUUGACUUUGCAAAGCUGAAUAUAAAUGUUCCUGCUGCUUGCCCAACGGUUCCAAUGCAUUGUGCAUGGCAAUUUAUGUGCACCAAUUAAUGGCUUUUGAGUGGACGAACCCUAUAUAAGGAAUCCUCUUUUCUGCAAAAGAAGACCAACCAAAAACAAUUCAAGCUAUGGGUGUUUCUUCAACAUCACUUUCUUUGCUUUUGCUUUUCAUUUGCAUUGUUUCUCAUUUCAGUGCACUUGCUCUUGGCGAUGACAAAGUUGACGAGAAGAGGUUUGGCAAUGAUGAUGAUUACUGUCGAUGGGGUCGACGUUGUGGCGGCCGCUUUGGCCGUGGACGUGGAGGAGGACUAGGAGGAGGUGGUGGCAGAGGUGGUGCUGGGGGUGGAUUUGGUCAUGGAGGAGGUUUUGGAGCAGGUGGAGGAGUCGGUGGUGGACCAAGAGGAGGUCUUGGUGGUGGUGGUGGAGGUGGUGGUGGUGGAGGGGGAGGUGGUGGUGGUGGUGGAGGGGGUCUUGGAGGCGGUUCAGGUCAUGGUGGAGGGUUUGGAGUCGGAGGUGGUGUAGGUGGUGGUAUUGGAGGUGGCGCUGGAGGUGGUGGCGGUGGAGGAGGAGGAGGAGGUGGUGGUGGAGGCGGUCUUGGUGGUGGUUCAGGUCAUGGAGGAGGGUUUGGAGCUGGAGGUGGUGUAGGCGGUGGUGGCGCUGCAGGAGGUGGAGGUGGAGGUGGUGGAGGAGGUGGUGGUGGUGGAGGCGGUCUCGGUGGUGGUUCAGGUCAUGGAGGAGGGUUUGGAGCUGGAGGUGGUGUCGGAAGUGGUGGCGCUGGAGGAGGAGGAGGUGGUGGUGGUGGUGGUUCAGGCCAUGGUGGGGGCUUUGGAGCAGGAGGUGGUGUUGGUGGUGGCGCUGGAGGUGGAGCCAGUGGAGGUGCAGGAGGGGGUCGUGGUGGAGGAUUUGGAGUUGGAAUUGGCAUUGGCAUAGGAGUUGGAGUUGGAGCUGGUGCUGGCCACGGGUCAGGUACUGGUUCAGGCAGCGGUGGUGGCGGCAGAUAAUGAAUUUUACUUGAAAAUCAAUAUUUUGCAAUUUGAGUGAUUCUUAACGCAACUAAAACAGGGUUUUUUAACAUUUGAAAGAGUAAAAAUAUAUUUUAUUUCCCGGUUUCCUUGUAUUUGCAAUUGUAAUAAUGCAAUUAUUCAAUAAAUUACAUAUUCCAUGUGUUAUUAUUUAUUAUAAAACAUAUAUUAAAUGUUUAUUUAAUUAAAUUCUCAAAAAAUAUAUAUAUAUAUAUUUAUUUAAUUAGGAAUGAUAUCUCGAGCUGGGUUGCAAGCUGGUUUACUAUUUUUCUUGUCAAAAUAUUCUUUUAAAAGAAAGAAUUAUUCAAUUUCUUCAUGCUACUUGUGCAAAGAUUUCGAAAUUUUUUCUAAUCUGUUAGUGUUAGUCCCUCUAAUUUUGCCACUUAUUUUUUAAGGUUAUAUUUAUGUUUCUAAUAUCGCAUUUAAGCUUCUUUGCUUCGGCAAUUUUUCUAAAAUGAUGAUUUCUUUUGGAUAGCUCUUUUUUUUGUUUUUUUUUUUUUUUUUUUACUGGUCUUUUUAUAAAAUACGUUGCAUGUUGAUUAUAUCUCCUAUUUAAUUUUUAUGUAAUUUCUCACUUUUACUUAUUAUUUAUCUAUUUUUUUAAUAUUAAAUAUUUAUUAUAAUUUUUGUCUUAUUUAUUUAGAUUUUUAUAAUAUUAAAAUAAAAUUAUAUGAAAUUAACGUGAAUAUAACGGUUAAUCAAUAAAACAACAGUGUGCAUAUACUCAUACUUCAGUUAAUUAAUAAAAUAACAGUGUGCAUAUACGCUGUCACGACCCAUUUCCAUGGGUCGGACCGGCACUAGGGCCCAGGUAAGCUUAAGGCCCCCGAGGCCCGUAGUAAGCCUGAACACUACAGAUUUGCUAUCUCAAUAAAAUUUUAAACAUACAAAUUUCCCUGCUUACAAUACACUAUAGUUAUAAUACAGGUUCACAGAAUUAUUCCAUCUACAACAAUACACAACUUAAAAGUAUACAAGUUCUAUAACUGCGGAGUUUACUGACGGAUGUAUACAUAUAAGUCUUCGGACAUUUAUCUAUUUAAUUGAUCAAUACUAAAAUUAGUGAAUUUCUUUUUUAACGGUGAAGAGCAGAGUUAUAGCUGGGAUUUAGAAAAUGCUACUUCCUGAAAGAUUUGAACAAAAGAGAUGUGAGAGUUUAUUAAUGAAUCAUAAUUAUUGCACAACACACGCAUUCACACAAUUGUAUAAAUAUAUCAACCUAGUCAUCCGACUANNNNNNNNNNNNNNNNNNNNNNNNNNNNNNNNNNNNNNNNNNNNNNNNNNNNNNNNNNNNNNNNNNNNNNNNNNNNNNNNNNNNNNNNNNNNNNNNNNNNNNNNNNNNNNNNNNNNNNNNNNNNNNNNNNNNNNNNNNNNNNNNNNNNNNNNNNNNNNNNNNNNNNNNNNNNNNNNNNNNNNNNNNNNNNNNNNNNNNNNNNNNNNNNNNNNNNNNNNNNNNNNNNNNNNNNNNNNNNNNNNNNNNNNNNNNNNNNNNNNNNNNNNNNNNNNNNNNNNNNNNNNNNNNNNNNNNNNNNNNNNNNNNNNNNNNNNNNNNNNNNNNNNNNNNNNNNNNNNNNNNNNNNNNNNNNNNNNNNNNNNNNNNNNNNNNNNNNNNNNNNNNNNNNNNNNNNNNNNNNNNNNNNNNNNNNNNNNNNNNNNNNNNNNNNNNNNNNNNNNNNNNNNNNNNNNNNNNNNNNNNNNNNNNNNNNNNNNNNNNNNNNNNNNNNNNNNNNNNNNNNNNNNNNNNNNNNNNNNNNNNNNNNNNNNNNNNNNNNNNNNNNNNNNNNNNNNNNNNNNNNNNNNNNNNNNNNNNNNNNNNNNNNNNNNNNNNNNNNNNNNNNNNNNNNNNNNNNNNNNNNNNNNNNNNNNNNNNNNNNNNNNNNNNNNNNNNNNNNNNNNNNNNNNNNNNNNNNNNNNNNNNNNNNNNNNNNNNNNNNNNNNNNNNNNNNNNNNNNNNNNNNNNNNNNNNNNNNNNNNNNNNNNNNNNNNNNNNNNNNNNNNNNNNNNNNNNNNNNNNNNNNNNNNNNNNNNNNNNNNNNNNNNNNNNNNNNNNNNNNNNNNNNNNNNNNNNNNNNNNNNNNNNNNNNNNNNNNNNNNNNNNNNNNNNNNNNNNNNNNNNNNNNNNNNNNNNNNNNNNNNNNNNNNNNNNNNNNNNNNNNNNNNNNNNNNNNNNNNNNNNNNNNNNNNNNNNNNNNNNNNNNNNNNNNNNNNNNNNNNNNNNNNNNNNNNNNNNNNNNNNNNNNNNNNNNNNNNNNNNNNNNNNNNNNNNNNNNNNNNNNNNNNNNNNNNNNNNNNNNNNNNNNNNNNNNNNNNNNNNNNNNNNNNNNNNNNNNNNNNNNNNNNNNNNNNNNNNNNNNNNNNNNNNNNNNNNNNNNNNNNNNNNNNNNNNNNNNNNNNNNNNNNNNNNNNNNNNNNNNNNNNNNNNNNNNNNNNNNNNNNNNNNNNNNNNNNNNNNNNNNNNNNNNNNNNNNNNNNNNNNNNNNNNNNNNNNNNNNNNNNNNNNNNNNNNNNNNNNNNNNNNNNNNNNNNNNNNNNNNNNNNNNNNNNNNNNNNNNNNNNNNNNNNNNNNNNNNNNNNNNNNNNNNNNNNNNNNNNNNNNNNNNNNNNNNNNNNNNNNNNNNNNNNNNNNNNNNNNNNNNNNNNNNNNNNNNNNNNNNNNNNNNNNNNNNNNNNNNNNNNNNNNNNNNNNNNNNNNNNNNNNNNNNNNNNNNNNNNNNNNNNNNNNNNNNNNNNNNNNNNNNNNNNNNNNNNNNNNNNNNNNNNNNNNNNNNNNNNNNNNNNNNNNNNNNNNNNNNNNNNNNNNNNNNNNNNNNNNNNNNNNNNNNNNNNNNNNNNNNNNNNNNNNNNNNNNNNNNNNNNNNNNNNNNNNNNNNNNNNNNNNNNNNNNNNNNNNNNNNNNNNNNNNNNNNNNNNNNNNNNNNNNNNNNNNNNNNNNNNNNNNNNNNNNNNNNNNNNNNNNNNNNNNNNNNNNNNNNNNNNNNNNNNNNNNNNNNNNNNNNNNNNNNNNNNNNNNNNNNNNNNNNNNNNNNNNNNNNNNNNNNNNNNNNNNNNNNNNNNNNNNNNNNNNNNNNNNNNNNNNNNNNNNNNNNNNNNNNNNNNNNNNNNNNNNNNNNNNNNNNNNNNNCUAAUCGGCCGGUCUUUAGUUGGUCUUGCCGGAGAAGCAGAGGUUAGCGCUGAAGGAGUCUGCCAAUCGAAGUGAAAUCGCAGCUCACUCUUACUGUGCUCGCCGGAAGAGAGGAGAGAAGAUGAACGGCGAAGGGACGGAGCAAGGAGCUCAGGUCGGCGUGACUCACACUCAGGUGGCCGGAAUCGCAGGUGGAGCUCGAUUCGCGAUUACACAGCCUCCUGCUUCUCUUUGACUUGCGCUGAAAUCGAACGGAAAGAGGGAGAAAGGGAGAGAUACCGGAGACGCUGCGGUGAGGAGGCGGCAGCGGCAGGGAGGCGAUGGCUGAGGCGGAAUCGGCACUGGUCUCAGGCGGUUGGAAAAACGAAAGGAGGAGAAGAGGAGGGUGGGUCGACGCUGCUCUCCCCCGAAGAAGAAAAGAAAAAGAAGAAAAAAAAAAAAGAAAAGAAGGAGAAUUCUAAAGCUUCUAGACCAUUCCGGUUCGAUUCGAACCGGUUUGGUCUAAUUCUAUGAUUUGGCUCAAUUUGCUUGAUUUUCGAGUUUUUCGCUUGGUUUUCGAAAAAUCAAAUUGAUUUAUGGGUCCAGUUUAGCAAUAAUAAAAUACUAGCUGGUAUAAUCUCAUUGGUUGAAAUAAAAAAAUUAGUUUUUAAAUGAAAAUUCUACGAAAUUAAAUUUUCG